rnacentral:lncRNA from 1 species
AUUAACCUCAACAACUUUGUGAUUCUUUCUUCUUUCCAAAAGAAUAAAGAUUCGAACAUUUCGCCUCUAUAUAAUUUUAACAAGAAGGUAUUGGAUCCGGAUCUAACGAUCCAAAGCGUCCAUCUAUGACCAACUCGUAAUUUAUGUUUUAGAGGUAUCACAACUUUAGUUGGGAUUAGUCACUACCUUGCAACCUUUUGGGUUUUUAAGCAUCAUUAUUUUCUAAACAGUUAACACUACCAUAUUAUCUCUACUAUAGAGAUAAUUAAUUAGAUUACCAUAAUCCAAUCAUUGAUUAAUAAAGAACAUUGUUUUGUCAAACAAAACAUUUAUCCAUUUCACAUAGUGACGGAAUUUAGUUCCUUAAAAUUUGGAAUAUAAAGACAAUCUUUGUUUUUCCAAUUUCUUUGGUAGUUCAUAUGAGGAAGUAAGUACCAUCUGCUUUCGCAGAGAUCUACAUUUGAUUCACGUUUCGAAUGUGAAGUACUUUCUCUUCUUUCAUUAAUCUUCUACUUCUUAUUAGUCACACUUUUCCAACGAUUGUAAAACAUAGUUACUAAUACGGAAUCAAGCAUUCAAGUAGAAGAACCAACUGUUUUGAACUAUUCAAGAACAAUUUACAACACCUUCGAAAGGUGUGUUCUUGACACUUACAAGACAUUUCUUGUAAACACCCUUUCCAAUGUCCAUCCUUUCAUAAAGAAAGUUUGUUCCCUUGGAGUUAAUUUAAUCUUCUUCAUUUGACUUCUCCUUUGACUAUAAUAGUCAUGGUCCCUAAACUCCCACUAUCUCUCUUGAAACUUAUUUCAAUUGUGUUUAUACACAUCAAACAUUUUGGAGAGCAUGUGGUUAUUGUUCAUUUAUAUAGUUUACAAUAAACUUAAUGAACCAUAAGGAUAGGGACACAAAGGUGAAGUCCUUGCCUAGUUUCCGUCUCAUUAAGUGGUUUAUCACUUCAACACUUAAUGAUUCAAAAUCAUUAUAAGUCCAUGUUAAUGGACUAUUUUUGUCAACCAACCAUUAUGUUCUAAACAUAAUUACAAACCUUCAAGAGUUGUACAAGGCAACUCUCAUUUCUUCAUACAACAAUUUGUAAGUGAAGAAUCAUGGCACAUAAAGUGUCCAUGCCUUUGUGCUUUCUUCUCAAGUUCUUUGUUCAUUUAACAAAGAAACAAGCACUAGUGUUUGCAUUGACUAAGGGUUGUUCAAAGCAACUAUUAUUUCUUCAUACAACAAUUUGUAAGUGAAGAACUAAUAACACUAAAAGUGUCCUUGUCAUUAUGCUAAUCUUCGUAAGUUCCUUUGUUCAUUUAACAAAGGAUUAAGCAUUGGUUGUUUGUGUUGUCCUCUUCAUGAUAGACUUAUCUAACAUGUUCUUUCAAUGAUACAUUACCAAUAGAACAAUUUUGAGGAUGAGACUACUUAGGUACAUAUACAAUCCAUUUAAGACAAUCUUUGGGAUUGUGUUACCAAGUCCGGAAACUAAAGCAUUCGGCUUUUCUUUGUCAAGUUUUGGAUAGCGUUUGCAAAUAUAUUGGUAAACAAAUACAUAACGAAUAUAAAUUGAUUGAUUUUAAGCCAUCUGAUUCGGGUCUUUAAAUCAAAUAGCACCACCCACUAUUUUUGGCAAAUUCCAUAUCCCUCAUUGGAAUUCGAGAGUUUUGGAGGAAACUCUUAGUAGGUUAUGGGAGGCUCACUAUUACCAAGCCCACCUCAGAAGAACUCCAUAUUGGCUAGCAACAAUAAUAAUGAGAUAGUACGCUUACUCAUUUGCAACUAAUGCAAGUACCCAUCUUAUUUGGCCUCUAGAGAAUGAUGCCUCAGAAGAACUCCAUAUUGGCACCAUUGCACUUAGUUAAGUCAUUCCCACCAUGCUAGUUCAAGUAGGGGUUCAAGAAUGGCCUCAGAAGAACUCCAUAUUGGCCAUACUCGUUGCCUACUUUCACUUCAUCAUAUGUUUAUAGGCUUCUCCUGAAUGUAAGCACAUACUUUGCAACCCCAGAACUGGACGAAUACAUUGUAUGAGUCACAAACGAUUGAAGCCUACCACGGUGGAAGGCCACGAAAGAAUGUUCAAAGCACUCUCAGGCUUUUCAACUUAAUAUUGGUUUGGUUGAGGGUUUUAGGUCUCAUCACAUAUAAAUAUUCAUUUUAAUCUCUAUUAAAACUAUUUUGGUCCUAUUACAACUAUUGGUCCAUCUCAUUGUUUUAGUUGUAUAUAAUACUCCCACUAUGCUUAUAAAACGGUUUUUAAAGCAAGAGUAUAUGAUACUACUAACAUAACCUUUGCAUUCAUUUGAUGGACUAUAUAGUUGCCUUAGGGCCUUAGGAUGACUAUGAACCUUUGUUUAGAUUCAACACGAGCCUUGUGUUGAAUCUCGGUCUAGGGAUGGUGAUUGAUUUUAGUUACGCGUUUAAUCACAUUAAGGCGUGUUGUCUUAGGGGCGUUGGACCCAACUACUUCAUUUUCAUGCAUAUCAAAUAAAGCAAGAAAGAAGUACUUCAAAGUAAAGGUGAGCUUAUGCUCAUUACAACAUUUGCAUAAAACAAAUUACUUUAAAGUAAAGAAGAGCUUAUGCCCUUUUACAACAUUUGAUCAAAUCAAAUUACAACCAAAAAUUAAUCUACACAUUCCCAUGGUUCAAACAAAUUUGAAACGGCCUAUCACAUAGCUCAAUUAUAUUAGGCUUAGGUUCAUAAUCACCCUUUAAUUAAUUAACACUUUAACUAAUUAAAUUGAAUGCAACAUUUUCAUUUGGUUUUUGUAUCCAUAAAAUUGAUUUAAAUGGAGCUAAACAAAAUGAAAAUCCAAUUCUCAUUUAAAGAGACAAAACAAUUUUGUUCUCUACUUAAUUUGGGCCAAUAUGCAAUAACCACAACUUUUGGGCCAUAAAGCAAUUAACCUCAACUUUUGGGCUAUAUUGCAAAACUUUUGGGGUCACACUUUGUAAAGACACAAAAGUCCACUACUUCAUGUAAUUACAUUAGAACCCAAAAUUUAAUCAAUGCAAAAACUUCAUUAAAGGAUCAAAACAAUUUGUCCUUUAGCGUUUUUGGACCUAAACGUAAAAACGUAAACUUUUGGGCCAAAGUGCAAAUACACAAAAGUAUCAAAACUUUAUGUAAUUGCAUAAAAGCCCCAAAAGUACCCCACUUGCAAGGGUGGCCGGUUUUGGAAGAGGAUAGAGUGAUGUGUGUGUUGAUUUGUGAGUUUUAGACAUAAAGCAUGCAAGUGGUGCAAGUGGUGUGUGUGAAAGGAAAUUAAUCCUUACACACCCAUCACCAUUUCCAUCACCCUUCAAAUAAAUAUCUUAUGCAAUAAAUCAUUUGAAAAACAUAAAACACAAACUUUAUGAAAUAAAUCAAAACUUUGAAUCAAAACACAAACCUUUUUGUUCUUGGCAAAAAUGUCAAGAACAAUGAAGAACACUCAUGAAAAAACUCAAAAUUUUCCAUGAACAUUUUUCACCUAAAAACAUUCCAAAACCAUUCAAACUUUAGGGAAAUAACAUCUAACCAAACUAGGGUACAUAGGGGUUCCAAAAGUCACUUGAAAACACUUUUAACAAGUCAAACAAGAACCCAAAAAUCCACCCUUUGGAUUUGGCCGAAAAUCCCCAAAGUCAUGGCACCAAAUUUUAGCUCCAAUAUUCAUGCUCAUAUGAACUACAUCUACAACAUUUGAGAUGGCAAAUUUUCUAACAAAAUUUACAUUCAAAGAAACAAGAAUAAAGCUUGUAACAUAUUACAACUUUUAAAUCACAAACUAUGAACUACAAAACCCAAAAGGAUUCACCAACUACUAGACCUCGGCUCUGAUACCACUUGAAGGAAAAUUUUGUGAAAACAUGUUCAUUUAAGCAACAUCAAAUAGCAUGCAAUUAACAAUUAAAGGCGGAAUCAUGCUAGCAUGCACUUAAAAACAAAACAUUAACCAUGAAAUUCAAAGCCUAGUAGAUUGGUGAACCAAGAAUCAACUCAAAACAAAGUGAGUUGAGAUUUAUACCUUUGUAGAUUCCUCUUUGCAUAAGCAAAGGCUAAUCACCCAAAGAGAGGGUCUUCAUUCCUUGCAUCUUAAAUCUAUAUUUUUGGAUGGAAGAAUAGGUUUCUCCAAGUUCCCAAAGUAGGGAACCUCUAAGUCUCUUCACCAAGGAGAGAUUGGAGAAGAAAUGAGUGACCUUGGAGUAGUGGGAUUGCAAGAUGCACCCCCCCAAGGGGCCGGCCUCUUUAGAGAGAAAUGGAGAGACAUGUUCUCUCCAAUUUUCUCCAAAACAAACCCUUAAUGAAUUUUAGCUAUAAAGUCAUAUUUAUACCUUUAUUCAUUUGAGUGGCAAACUUGUAAAUAAAUCCAAGUUCACUACCCUAAAACAUCAUGGCCGGCCAUUGGGAUAUUAUUGGGCUAUUAUGCCCUUGUGAAUCUUUAUUCAUUAAGUUGUCAUACAACCUAAGUCAAUGGGCUUGACGUUCGAAGCCCAUUGGGCCUAAACGUCCAAAACUAUCCCGAGGUCUUUUAACGAACUUAUUCGUUUGAUUAAUUAACAUAUUAAUUAAUCCUUGCCAUAAAUAAAUGAUUAAACCAUUUAAUCAUUCUUACUCAUCUCCGUUUAAUCUCCAAUCUCCACCUCUUAUGGUGUGCGAUCCAUUAGGUUCCUUUUAGCGAGGCAGUGGGCGAUUAAAACCAUUUCAAAUCGAUUGUGAAUUGAAACUUACUUUCAAUUCUCCCUUUAGUGUUUAUACACGUUUAGGGCUUCCACAAACCAUGAGUGACACCUUGCAGCAUAUCAUGGUUACCCAAGCUAAUCAGAAGAGGUAGAGAAAACCUAUUCAGUUUGGGAUUACAAAUGCAAUACGGUCUUUCUCUAAUAUACAAUACUCUUGACCACAUUGUUUGGUUUGAUAGUUUAUUUAUUCAUGUCUACUAUCCAAUGUGAUUCGUGUGCUUAUAUGAUUUCCUUGAAUGUGAUUUAGAACGACUUUUCUAAAUCUCAUUCAUACUCUGGCCAGAGAUUCUAAAUCAUAUCAUAGAGUAUUCUCCCUCAAACAGUUUGAAGGUUAGAGAUCCCUUGUUGCGCAUUCACUUGCCUCCAUGGCUAAGUGGCUUAACCCCAACGAUGCCGUGGACACCCCGAUGGGGUGACUUUGACAUAAUCAAAGAUCAAGGACUUAACCACAAGACAACUGUGAUGCCUCAGGUCAAAGGACUAAUUUGCAUUAUCCCAAACAUGAGUUCUCAUGUGACAUGAGUAUGAGAACUCUUCGUUGAUCAUGUUCAGUGAACUCAUUCUCUACUGAGCACCUACGUACUUGUCUUGAUGUCACACACACCAAUGACUCGAGACUAGUCACUCUCCCUGAGAGAAGACAUAGCACGUACCGAUCUUAACGGACUGUCAAUGCCCAAUUGGCAAUCCUAUGAUCAGGAACAUUUAGGAUGUGUCUACGAAAGAAUGGUCUCAUGAAUCUAACUUCAUUAGAUUACAUUCUUCCAAUCACAUAUUCCUUGGACUUUAUCGUUUAAGCAUAUAACAUUUAUAUGAGACGGCUCAAACAAUAAUCUUUGCCCUUUAUAGUUAAACUAGAUAAGUUUAACAUGUAAAAUGUCCGUAAAGUAUCAUCAUAUGAUUGGCUUUAGGGCACAUUUCCAACAAAAGUUUCCCUCCCGUUCUGGAAAUCGACUCGGUCGUCACGGAUUCGAGUCCCUGCAAAUGGUGUUUGGGACACAACUCACCCCUCAUUCUGACAACCACGAUGACGAAGCCAAAAUCGAAAACCCGACCGUCUCGGACCUGUUUUCAGCGCUGAGAGCGACGUCUCGGUUAGAGGAUUUUAGCCGAGUUAAACAAGGAUUAUCGGCGAGAUAAGCGAAAUUAAGGUGAGAAAUCGAGAAACAGAGGAACGAGAACGCGCUGCUCGACAAGAAGCACGAGUUCGAGUGGCUCAGAAGCUCAGAGCAGAGGAGGAGCUCAGGUUUAAGCUCUUAUCGAUCAAGGUGGAGACGAUGAAUGAAAAGAACCGUGGCGAGGGUGGAGAGGUAAUUUUGGAGCUCUGGACGCAGAACGAGGAGCUGGAGCACCGCAUUGAGUGGCUGGAGAAGAGCGAUAAGACAUCGAGGAAGAGGGGUUUUGAGUAACAACAUCCAGAGAAGAAGGAGUGAUCGGUUGGUUGCGAUUGGUGGUGAUACUGCUGCUAACAAUGAUAGCACUGAACACAAUCAUGAUGUUAGAAAAAGAAAAAGGAGGAUGGGCUAAACGUGGGCUGUACUAGUUGUUGAGUGAAUAUUUCAGAAAACGAAAAAGGGAAGAAAUGAAAAGAAAAAGGUGCAUAGACAGAACAAUGUCAUUCAGCGGCCGCUUUCGGUCAUGAUUGUGCUCACUGUCGCCUGGCAAGCCUUUGGGUUGGAAUCAAUCAUAAUGUUAGGAAAAAAAAAAAGAGGGAGAAAAAUAAUAGAAAAAGAAAAAGGAGGAAGAUAAAGAGAAAUCAUGACCAGGCUGCACAUAUUUGUGGAUGAACUUUCCGGAAAAAAUGGGUGCGGUAAAGGCAAGCCAUCAGCAGAUGCCAUCAACUUUUGAAAAAGAAAACUUUCAUCAUGCAUGUUCCCACUUUUCUGAAUAAGCCACUGGAAUACACACAUGGAAAAAGAUCUGCAACAACCCAUUACGUAGUAGGUGCAAUACACAACAACGAUCUUGUUGGAAAUGUGCCCUAAAACCAAUCAUAUGAUGAUACUUUACGGACAUUUCACAAAGUUAAACUAAUGUAGUUUAAAUAUAAAGGGCAAAGAUUAUUGUUUGAGCCGUCUCAUAUAAAUGUUAUAUGCUUAAACGAUAAGUCCAAGGAAUAUGUGAUUGGGAGAAUGCAAUCUAAAGAAGUUAGAUUCAUGAGACCAUUUUUUCGUAGACACAUCCUAAACGUUCCUGAUCAUAGGAUUGCCAAUUGGGCAUUGACAGUCCGUUAAGAUCAGUACGUGCUAUGUCUUCUCUCAGGGAGAGUGACUAGUCUCGAGUCAUUGGUGUGUGUGACAUCAAGACAAGUACGUAGGUGCUCAAUAGAGAAUGAGUUCACUGAACACGAUCAACGAAGAGUUCUCAUAUUCAUGUCACAUGAGAACUCAUGGUUGGGAUAAUGCAAAGUAGUCCUUUGACCUAAGGCAUCACAGUUGUCUUAUGGUUAAGUCCUUGAUCUUUGAUUAUGUCAAAGUCACCCCAUCCGCGGGUGUCCACGACAUCGUUGGAGUUAAGCCACUUAGCCAUGGAGGCAAUUGAAUGCGCAACAUGGGAUCUCUAACCUUCAAAUCGUUUGGGGGAGAAUACUCUAUGAUAUGAUUGAAAAUCUCUGAUCAGAGUAUGAAUGAGAUUUAGGAAGGCGUUCCAAAUCACAUUCAAGGUAAUCAUAUAAGUAAACGAAUCACAUUGGAUAGUAGACAUGAAUAAACUAUCAAACCAAACAAUGUGGUCAAGAGUAUUGUAUUAGAGAAAGACCGUAUUGCAUUUGUAAUCUUAAACUGAAUAGGUUCUCCACCUCUUCUGAUUAGCUUGGGUAACCAUGAUAUGCUGCUAGGUGUCACUCAUGGUUUGUGGAAGCCCUAAACGUGUAUAAUCACUAAAGGGAGAAUUGAAAGUAAGUUUCAAUUCAUAAUCGAUUUGAAAGAGUUCUAAUCGCCCACUGCCUCGCUAAAAGGAACCUAAUGGAUCGUACACCGUGUAAGGUGGAGAUUGAAGAAACAAUGGAGAUGAGUAAGAAUAAUUAAAUGGUUUAAUUAUUUAUGGCAAGGAUUAAUUAAUAUGUUAAUUAAUCAAACGAAUAAGUUCGUUAAAGACCUCGGGAUAGUUUUGGACCUUAAGGCCCAAUGGGCUUCGAACGUCAAAGCCCAUGGACUUAAGUUGUAUGACAACUUAAUGAAUAAAGAUUCACAAGGGCCCAAAAGCCCAAAUCCCUUAAAGUGGCCGGCCAUGUUAGAAGAAUAGCUUUUUGGUUCUUUAGGUCACUUAUUUGAAGGGACUAUAUAAAGGACUUUAUAGCCUAAAUUCAUUAAGGGUUUCUUUUGGAGAAAAUUGGAGAGAACAUGUCUCUCCCUUUCUCUCUAAAGAGGCCGGCCCCCUUGGAGGGAUUAGCUAGCAAUACUACUCCUCCAAGGUCACUCAUUUCUUAUCCAAUCUAACCUUGGUGAAGAUACUUAGAGGUUCUCUAUUUUGGGAACUUGGAGAAACCUAUUCUUCCAUCCAAAUCCAUAGAUUUAAGAAGCAAGGAAUGAAGGCCCUCUCUUUGGGUGAUUAGCCUUUGCUUAUGCAAAGAGGAAUCUACAAAGGUAUAAAUUUCAACUCCCUUUGUUUUGAGUUGAGUCUUGGUUCACCAAUCUACUAGGCUUUGAAUUUCAUGGUUGAUGUUUUGUUUUUGAGUGCAUGCAAGCAUGAUUCCGCCUUUAAUUGUUAAUUGCAUGCUAUAUGAUGUUGCUCAAAUGAACAUGUUUUCACAAAAUCUUCCUUCAGAUCUACAACUAUCGAAACCUUUGUUUUGAAUGAUCUAAUUUAUUUGUAUUAUCUUUCGGAGACAUCUGUAUAACCCCAUCAGAGGGUAAAAAAAAAAAAAAAAAAAACGGCAAGCCCAAAAUAAUGGGCUAGAAUGUUAUGUGGAGGGCGAAGGCACAUAUGCCCAAAAGAGUCAGGCCCUCUAUUAUCACCAACCAGGUGAUCAAAAGUACGUCCAGUACUACAAAAAAUUAUUCGGCAACCUGCCCCUAUUAUCACCAACCAGGUGAUCAAAAGUAAGUCCAGUACUUCAAAAUUAUUCGGUAGCCUGCUGCUAUUAUCACCAACCAGGUGAUCAAAAGUACGUCCAGUACUACAAAAAAUUAUUCAGCAGCCUGCCGCGAUUAUCACCAACCAGGUGAUCAAAAGUACAUCCAGUACUCCAAAAUUAUUCGGCAGCCUGCCGCUAUUAUCACCAACCAGGUGAUCAAAAGUACGUCCAGUACUCCAAAAUUAUACAUGAGCAUCACUCAUGUCAAUCAUACAUAAACUUGGGGGACUACUGUUUGUACCAUACUUGAGCACCGCCUCAUAUCGAGUAUUAGUUGAAGACGACAUCUAGUUAUUUCGGCCCACACAUGGACUAAAUUUGAAGUCUCUAGCCAAAAGACUCUCUUGACUGAAGACUUGGGAGACUACUGUUUGUACCAUACUUAGGGCCUCCGUAUUUAGAUCUCGUAUAAAUACUCGGCGGACUCAAAUGUAAUUAUGUAAUAAAUGAAGGGGCAAAUAUGUAAAAUGGGGAGGAGCCCUUAGUUUAUAAAAGGGCCUCCUCACCCUCACAAUCGAAAGGCUCUCACCCUCAUAAUUCUCUCACAAACAGAGAAAUACAAUAUCAGUGUGGACGUAGCCUAAACAUUAGGGUGAACCACAAUACAUCUUGUGUUCUUUACUUUCUUGCAGAUUUACGGUCGGAUUUACGUUGUUCCAAGACCCCUCCAGUUUUGUGCAUCAUUAGAACCAAAUACGGAUUUAAAAAUAUCAAAAUCUGCAUGAAAAAAGCAACGUCGGCCCACUGGCCACACACUGCCGUAGGUGCCAGUUUCUGAUGAACGGAAACCCAAUUUUCUGACUAACUCUAAAAAUUACCAAAUUUUAUAAGGUUGUAGAGUUAAAUGAGAGGAACAACUUUCAUACCUGGGCCGAAGUCCAAUUCGGCCGAGAAAAGCCCCAAAAUUUCACUCAAUUCUGCCGGAACCCUAGAAUUUGGGUGUCCUCAAUUCGUCACCUUCGGUGGCCCACCGCCCAAACCAAGGCUUGGGACAUGUUCCUGGGUGGUGGUCGACUAUUGUGGCUUCACAAACAAGAGAUCCAAACACAGACCCAUCACAACCACCGGUGCGGGUUUCACUAAAUUAAAGCAUAUUUCCAUCGGAAUUGGAAUGGAAUUGGUGAAGGGAUCGAAUGGUGUUGAAAGGAGGGUUAUUUUAGCACCAUUCUCGUCAUCAAUGGUGACCGAAAUUGGAAACAAUGGUUGGGUCGGGUCGACGGGUUGAAGGAAGGUCCGGUUCCUUCCUCUCUCCUCUUCUCUCCUUUCCCUCAUUUCCUCCUUCCUCAUUGGUCCAUGUCUUUCCCUUUCUCUCCUUCCCUUUCCAUCAUAGCCACACACGUGGCUUCAUAGAUCCUUGCUCCAGCAAAUCUAGAGUCUUCCAGAUAUUGGUCAAAUGACCAUUUUACCCUAAACUUCUAUCGUUAAUAACUUCUUCAUUAUUACUCCGUUUCACGAACGGUUUUCGCCUACACACUCGUAGGAUCAUCCUCUAUCCAAAUAUGUCAAGAAAUCUGAUAAAAUACAUCCUCAAAUAAUUACGUUAAUCUUUUGAACUUAACGAUAAAUUUCACAACAUAAUUUAUAAUAAUUUCCUGAAACAUGACUUUAAAAGUUCUCAAUUCAAUUUUUCAUACCCAUAAAUCGAUUUAUUUUCGAUUUUUCUCUGCAAAUUCAUAUAUUUAAAUUUUCAGGGCAUUACAAGUUGACUUCCUCAACCUCUACAUGAUACUGAAUCUACUUGAGUAUUUACACACUCAAGGGGAAGUGUUAUAACCUUCUUGUUUAAGUGUGAUUGUGUAAAUCCUAUAUUAGAUUUGAUUCUAGUUAUUCUUUCCUAUUAGUACUUGUAUUCCUUGGAGGAGAAGGAUUUCUUCUCCCUCUUAUUACUAUAAAUAAAGGCACAUGGGGAAUAACAAGAUCCUCUACACAACCUUACAAACACAUCUCCCUCUCUAUUCUCUCUGUGCUGCCGACCCCCUUCCCCUAUCAGUUAAAUAUAGGCCACAACAUUUGUAAGUUUUUAAAAUUUUAUUAUUUUUAAGUGAGGAAUCAUUUCAACCAAGACAAAAGAUAGGGUGACCUGGCUGACAACCAUUUCUCCAAGGAUCGAAAUCCUCCUAAAGAUAGGUAAUUUCAAUUUUCAUCCUUAAGGGGUGGAUGUGAAAGUGAAUUGAAACGUCAGGGAUUAGGUAAUGUUUCAACCCUGAGGGAUUUUUGUGAAAAACAAGAAACCUCAAGGGGUGUUAGUAUAAUUAACCCGAUAAUUUCCUAAAAAUUACAUAUGGGCAUCAUAUUGCAACCGCAAUUCAAAGGCGCAUACUCAGACGGAAACUAAGUAGCAAGCGACACCUAGUAAGAAGUGGAGAACAAUUAGCUCAUAAGACAAUAUCACAAGGUGCCCUUCAAAAGCAACACUGACACGAAAACCUUUCCUCAUUCAAUUUAUCCGAACAGAUCAUUUUCCUUGGAACUCACUGUUUCUUAUGAAGUAGAAUAAUUUAUGCAAAGCACCUGAAGAAGGAACUGGAUCUAAAAGUACAAAUAUCCGAAAAAGAACAAACUAAUUUUGCUCCUUUGGUCAAGUAGAGGCCGAGGCCAGCUCUUUGUCUUAAGUAAAAAAAGGAAUAGGUUUCGUUGGGGCUGGCAAGCGGCCAGAGCCAUCAACUUCAUCCUUCUGUUUCAGGGGAGGUCUAGCUGCUUUCGGCAAUAACCUGCCUUUCUUAUCAACCACUCGGGUUUGAGCAAUGCUCGGAAGCCCAACUUGUUGUAAUACACUCUUCUAACAGACCCACCUGCAGCUUCAACAGCUUCCUUUGACCUUACAGUGACACGUGAUACCUGUAAACCUCUCAUAAGUCCAUUUUCGAGUUGCAUGCAACACAAAGAGGAAUGAAACCCGAAGUCUGAUCUAUAUGCAUUUACUCCAUAUCCAUGUGAAAAAUAAUUAGCAUAGGAAAGUAUCUGCCAUCAGUAAAUAUUAAUGGAUUAAUAGUUCAUUUAUAAACUAAUUUCAGAUUUCUAUGCUAAAGUUAGUUAUGUAAUAUUUGUUCAAAGAUGUUUAUUCGAAAUAAGUACCUUGCUGACAGCAUUUCGAGCCAUCACUAAACUACCACUAAUGAACAUGAUCAAUAUUUUCCAGUGUUUUUAAUUGAUAAAAUUUAACGGAGAUCAAAGGUAAUGUUACUACACACUACAAAAACGAAGUAAAUUAUGACAUCAGCAAACCAUUGGACUAGCAGUAAUGUACAUAUCAUAGUUAACUGAUAUCGCCAUUCCUUGGUCCAGAAAACAGAAUUGAAGUGGUGAAACACUCUCAUCCAGUGGUGAUAUCAUCAUAUGAUCCAGCUCUGAAGAGAAAAAAACAUUUUUGAGGUGAAGGCAGCAAUUUUAAAUCUAGGACAGUGAAGGGGGUAAAGCAAGACAGGGGUACCCACAUAACACAUAAGUCCAUGUCAUGUACAAUGCCUAGAUGAAUACACAUACCUCCAGAUGAAUUGGCCAUUGGAUCUGUUCAGCACCCCGUCCCAUCAAUCGUGUGGAUGCAAAUUUUCUCCUCCUCGAUCUUGGACGAUUUUGCACCUACAAAACAACUAGCACCUUAUGUUAAGGCCAAAAGCCUCACGCGUCCACGAUGAAUGAGGGGGGCUUUGGCCGAAGAACCUCCGAUGCCAAAGUUAGAAAUUUAGAGAGAAAUAGUGUUUAGAGUAUUUGGGAUUUUUUGCAAGAGGUUUGGAAUGAGUGUUUGGUAAAAAUGGGUGACUAUUUAUAGGACUAGGUUUGUCCACUUUUCUAAGAAAGUGGCCGGCCACUUUGUCUAUUUUUUGGUGAGUUUGUGGUUUAAUUAGCCACUUUAUUGGCUAAUAAAAUAUGAUAGAAAUAAAUGGGGAGUUACCAAAUUGAAUGACUAGCUUUAUUUGGGUAAUAAGGUGGAGAAAAUCAGAAAAGGUAUGGAGCAAAGGGAGGUGGCCGGUUUUGUCUACUAAUUUGGGUCACUUUAUUGACAAUUAGGGGAUUAAUUGAGUUGAUCCCCUAAUUAAUCAAUUAUUUAUGAUUUUAAGGGAUGAUUUUAGGAGAUAUGGGAAGAAUAUAUUAUUUAGAUAAUUAAUUAACUAAAUAAUAUAUUAAAGAAAUUAAGUUUCGGAAAUAAUUACCUAAAAUGAGAUAGUUUGGAAUUGGUUACCUCUUUUGGAGCAUUUUUUAAUUGGUGGAGGAUGAUUACCCACUACUUGCGCGUAGGAAUCCCGUUAUACCUCAAGGGUAUUUUUGUCUUCUUUUGUCCCAAAGUCCACGUGUCACUUUGUGAUCGUUUUUGGCUCCACAAAUCGCACUCCAUCUUCAAUCUGCUUCCCUAUUGCCCCUGUAUCCUAUGGUAACAAUAAUUACCAGAAUGAACAAACGUUGACGUAGGAAAUAGUGCAAUAGGCUGAGAAGAAAUUUACUGAACCUUGAGCGUUUUCAUUGUAAUCAACUCAGACGAAUCAAUCUUUCCUGCGUUUAUAAGUGUGGCAAUUUUUCCUAAUCCUACAGGCUGCCACGACGACAUGUACACAGGUCAGAAAAUAAAUUGGAAAUAAAAGUGAUGUUUAAUAGCCCCCAGAAAUAUAAAACAAAAGGCUUAAACAGAUUAAAAGUCAAUUAAAAGGAAUGAUAAAAUCAGUUUGCUAUGUAUAACCAAAACAAUCCGCCAAAGAAAAUCUAUAACCAAAACAUACGAAGCAUAAUGGUUUCACGCAUUGAGGAACCCUUAUGCAUGUAUGUAUGUACGUAUAACAGUACACACUAUUCAAGCAUAGAUUCAUAACAAUAUCAGGGUAUCAUGAAACUCAUAGACCUAGUUCAUUUGCCCAAUAUUUUAGCAAUGAUUCAGAGCAAACUCCAAGGAUUAAAAAAGCAUAGAGACUCAAGAACCGCCAAGUCAUUUCUACAAGAACUGAAUUAUUUCCCACUACUGAUCUCUGCAUUGCAAACCAAGUUAGGUUGGAAGUUGGAACAGAAACUUUAUCCAUCCACCUCACUUCAAGCAGAACAUUCGGCAGUAUGAUUUGCGGUAGAUAUUUAGAAUUUUGGAUACGGAUAGUUUAUGGAAUUUUCAAUAUCAAUGGACACAUGUUUUCUUAAAAAUGAAUAUUAAAAUGGUUAAAUGGCAGGACAAUUGAAAGGAGCAAACUGAAUUGCAAACUGAAUUGGUUUCGAAUGAAUUCAAUUGAUAAACUUUACAGUAAUAUAUACAUCAGUAGGUCAACCAAUCAACCCUACAUUAAUACCUACAAAAUAGCAUCCCUAUUUUGAUGGGAUUUGACAUAAACCUUAUUAGGUAAAUAUAUUACAUGAUAUUUCUCAAUACUCCCCCUCAAGUUGGAGAGUGAAUAUUAUGAACUCCCAACUUGUCACGUAGUGUCGCAAAUUGAUCUUUUCCCAAGGCUUUUGUAAAUAAAUUUGCUAACUGGAAACGAGUAGGCACAUGUGAGGGAAUAAUCAUUCCAGCUUGCAGUUUUUCUCGAACGAUGUGACAAUCAAUUUCAAUAUGCUUUGUAUGCUCGUGAAAAACAGGAUUAGCUGCUAUAUGUAGGGCAGCUUGAUUAUCACAAAAUAAUGAUGUGGGAGCCUUUUGCAGAACCUUUAAAUCCUGCAAUAUAUAGCGUAGCCAAGUUAACUCUAAACAUGUGUUGGCCAUAGCUCGAUAUUCGGCUUCUGCAGAUGAUCGAGAAACAUUGUCUUGUUUCUUGGAUUUCCAUGAGAUGAGAGAAUUUCCAAGAAAAACACAAUAUCCUGUAACUGACCUUCUUGUGGCAUGACAAGCUCCCCAAUUGGAAUCACAAAAAGCUUUUAACUCAAGAUUGUCAGAGACAGGAAAUAAUAAAACUUGACCAGGAGUACCUUUGAUGUACCUUAGAAUUCGUAAAGCUGCAUCCCAAUGAGGCUUGCGAGGCUCAUGCAUGAAUUGACUCAACGCGCGAACUGAAAAGACUAUGUCAGGCCUAGUGACAGUAAGAUAAAUCAAUCGUCCGACUAGUCUUCUGUACUUGGUGGGAUCAUCUAACAAUGCUCCGUCAAUGGGAGUGAGUUUCAAAUUUUGUUCUAUUGGAAACUUGUCUGGGCGUGCUCCCAUAAGUCCAGAAUCCUGCAAAAUGUCUAGUGCAUAUUUUCUUUGAAACAUGAAAAUGCCUUUCUGACAACGAGAAAAUUCAAUGCCCAAAAAAUAUUUCAAAUCACCAAGAUCUUUGAUGCGGAAGCGUGAGAAGAAAUGUUUUCAGACGUUCCAUCUCUUGUAGAUCAUUCCCUAUAAGAAGUAUGUCAUCCACAUAGAUAAGGACUGCAGUAAAUGAAGUACCUUGAGCCUUGGUAAAAAGAGAAUAAUCAGCUUUUGACUGUUGGUAACCUGCUUUCUGAAUGGUAACUGAAAAAGUCGAAAACCAGUUUCUAGAGGCCUGCUUGAGUCCAUAUAGAGAUUUGUUGAGCUGAUGGACGGGAAGGUGUACAAGCUGGCGGUAAGGGUGGGCUAUCAGCAAGACCGGGCAAGUGGGGGUGUAGGAAGGGCCCCCCGUUGUCAUGUAUGGGAAGGGUCAGAGGUGAUGAAGGUAGAGACUGGAAAGGGAAGAUAUUUUCAGUAAAUUUGACGUCACGGUUGACAAAGAAUUUUUUAGUGUCUAAAUCACAUAGUUUAUAACCUUUUUGACCAGUGGGGUACCCAACAAAGACACAUUGUUUUGCACGAGGAUCGAAUUUAUGAGUAGGGUGAACAACAGUAGCAAAACACAAACAACCAAAAACUUUCAAGUGGUCAAAAGAUGGCGGACGGUUAUAUAAUAACUCAAAAGGGGAUUUAUUAGAUAACAAAGGAGAUGGUAAUCGGUUAAUAAGAUAGACAGCGGUGGAUACACACUCACCCCAAAAUGAAAGGGGUACCUGAGAUUGGAAACGUAAGCUACGUGCAACGGUGAGAAUGUGAUGAUGCUUACGUUCGACAACGCCAUUUUGUUGUGGAGUGUAAACACAUGUGCGUUGAUAUUCAAUGCCAUUGGUUUGAAAAAAAUCUUUCAUGGACAAAAAUUCAGACCCAUUGUCAACUCUUACUACUUUGAUGUUUGCAUGAAAUUGUGUAUGAGCAAAAGUAACAAAAGAUUUUAAAAGGUGUUGAGUUUCAGGUUUAUGUUGCAUCAAAAAAACCCAUGUGCACCUGGUAAAAUCAUUGACAAUGGUAAGAAAAAAAUGAGCUCCCGAAUGUGUGGGAACUUUAUGAGGACCCCAUAUAUCACAAUGUAACAAAUCAAAAGGAGCAUGAGUCGAUAUAGAACUUAAAGGAAAUGGAAGUCUAGUUUGUUUAGUUAUAGGACAAACAUUACAAUUAUUAUCAAAAGAAAAAUUAUUUGAAGGCAAGGAAGGAAAUAUUAAUUUAAGGCGAGAAGGUGAAGGAUGUCCAAGGCGCAGAUGCCACAAAUUGGAGGGAUGAGAAACUUGACAGGAAAGAGGCGUUCGUUGCAACGGGGACAUGUAAUAAAGACCAUCACGUUGCUUACCCGAUCCAAUCAUCUUCCCCGUAGCCAAGUCCUGCAAGACACAGAAAGUGGGAAACAAAAUGGCACAACAAUUUAGAGAAUCAGUGACUUGACUGGCAGACAUGAGAUUUAAGUGAAAAGAAGGAACACAUAAAACAUUAUCUAAAGUAAUAUCUGAAUUGAAUGGUACGGUUCCUGUAGAAGUGAUUUUAGCCAAAGAGCCGGUGGGUAAUUUAACAGUGGCUAGUGGUGAAGAUGUGCUUUUGGAAAAAAAUGAAGAAUCUGAAAUGAUAUGAUUGGUAGCCCCGCUAUCCAAAAUCCAAGGUUUAGUAUAUACAUAAUUAAUGGAUGCAACAGUAAAAGGAGACAGACCUGCUGCAUUCGCAUAAGCACUGCUAUUACCAGAGGUGUUAUUUAAAUUCAUCAUUGACACAACGUGAGCCAAUUGUUGAAGUUGGUCAGCCAAAAGACCUUGCAACGGGUUCGGUGAAGGCUGCGUUUGCAUUUGUGUCUGAGGGGUGACAUGUGAAGAUGGCUGUGGCUGAGGUAUAACGUGCGCUGCAUUUGCAGCAGUCAUGAUGUGACUUGUCGCUGCAUUGGCAGCAGGAGAAGAAGCAAGGGCAGCACAUAGGAGGCUGCUGCCUUGGAGACGCUGCUGUGCCUUGUGAUUUCCUCCAUUCGUGCCAUUUUUAAAUCGGCAUCUGUCUUUAGUGUGGCCUCUUUUAUCACAGAACUUGCAAUGAUAUUUUCGAGUCCUACAAUUAUCAAUUGUAUGUCUGUCUUUAUCACAGUAUUCAUAACGGAUAUUUUUGGAAUUGUUGAAGGAAUGGUUUGAGCAACUCUGAACAGCUGCAGCAAUGGUAAAAUUUUCAUUCAAUCCCGAAGACAUUUUGUUAGAACCAAUCAAAUGUUACUUAUAUAAUAUAUAUAAAAUUUGCACAGUUUAUUGCAAAUAGCAAAUUCAACAAAGAUGUAAUAUAUUAAAAUGUUAACACUUAACGAAAUUGCAUGUAAAUCACAAAUAACUGACUUGAUCGUUGCAGAUAGAGGCUUACAGAGCAAUCUCCUAAGACAGAAAUACGUCCCUACACCAGUGCAGUAGUUCAAAGGACGUCUAUCUUGCAGGAUACAACUAUCUAAUCCAAGUUCUUGCACACGAACUUGGAUUCUUGACGAAUCGGUAGUAUUGUUCUCUGUAAGGAGUAAAAUGAGCGAUUGGAUUGAUCUCUUUCUCGUUUUUGAGCGGACUGCCAUAUAUAUAAUGGCUUAACUUGAACAAACGCAACCGUUCGUCCUUAUCAGUUACAAAACUGACGUAACUGUUCCCUUAGUUUUAUCCUUUCGGAAAAACUGAAUCCAAAAAUUCAAAACGAAAAAAUAAAACUUGUGUUUUUCGUCAAUCCGAGCCCAAGAGCCCCAAGGCCCAAGGCCCAUCUUUGACAUUUAAUAUAUACACCCAAACCUCCAUUUGUAAGGCCCAAGAUCCAUAGCUUUGGCCCAAUUCUUUUCAAACCAUAAAGGAGAGAAAAGACUUAUAAAGUGGACUUCUUGAAAGUGUUUGGGCGAUGUGGGACUAAGUCCCACUCACAAGUUCCAACAAAAGUUCCAACAAUACCCCACAUUUUCUAUUCAAACGCUAGCAACACAUUUGAAUAGAAAAUAAGAUACUAACUAAAUCAGUAACAUUGUUCCAGAGAACUGAGAUAUGAUAUGCAUCGGGAUAGGUGUCUUUUGGACUUGAACCUUCUCGAGUGAGUACUUAUCGGAUUUACCUAAUGAAGCAGUGAGUUUAAUAUCUUGAAUUGAUCAUUGUAAGUAGUAAAUCGAAACAAGAAGUAUCACACAGAUCACAUCUUGACACACUUCAAUUCAUACGGUUGUGUUCAUUUUGGUCGUGAACAUAUCCUGAUUUCAUGAGACCUUUAGAGAAUUGUAGCCAUAUCAAAUCUCAAAGAUGCGACCCCACAUCAAUCUCAUAUAGGUAAUGCUAACUAAGAAUAGCCUGUUCUAUUCAUCUCAACUAUAAGAUGUUAGCAUUAUUAAGAAUAAUGAUUCACCCUUUACGUCGUACAGGUAACACACUGUUUGCCAUCAUAGGAAUAAGUAAGGAUUGUCUGUUUCUUACCUUGACAUUUAAUAUAUACACCCAAACCUCCAUUUGUAAAGCCCAAGAUCCAUAGCUUUGGCCCAAUUCUUUUCAAACCAUAAAGGAGAGAAAAGACUUAUAAAGUGGACUUCUUGAAAGUGUUUGGGCGAUGUGGGACUAAGUCCCACUCACAAGUUCCAACAAAAGUUCCAACACAUUUGUCUCUGUGUUUCGUCCUGAAUAACAAGUGAGUAGGCUUGACGAACUUUAGGCAAAGGUGCCAUCAUGAGAAUAUUACUUCGAACUCCACUAUAGAUAUCAUUGAGACCCAUGAGAAAUUGCAUCAUUCGAUCUUCUUCUAUUUGUUCAUUGUGUGCCUUUGUUUGGUCGCAGAUGAGAAAAGGUUGAUAAGUCUCUAACUCAUCCCAAAGGCCUUUAAGUUUUGUAAAAUAAGCCGAAACUGUCAUGGAACCUUGAGAGAGGGAUGCGAUGGAUUUCUGGAUUUGAUAAAUUGUUGGUGCAUUCUUUUGUGAGAACUAAUCUUUAAAAUCUUCCCAUACCUGUUCAACACUUUUGGCAUGAACAACUCCUUUGGAUAAAUCAGGCUCCAUAGAUUGAGCAAGCCACGUUAAAAUCAUACUAUUACAUUGAUUCCAGAGAGCGUAUUCUUUUGGUUGAUCCUUUGCUGAUGGGGGCUGAAUGGAGCCAUCAACAAAACCAAUUUUGUUUUUGGCUGUGAGAGCAUGAAUCAUGGAUUUGCUCCAAGAUGGAUGGUUGGAUCCAUUCAAUUUUUCUGGGACGAGCAUAUGACCAGGACUUUCUGAAUGAUGGACAUAGACGGGGUUUGAUGAAUCCAUACCGACCUUGCUAUGGGUUUGACUGGUUUGUGGUAGUGAUUGAAGUUCUGUAUCUGACAUGAUGUUUGGAAAAAUAAAAAGGGUUGAAAAAGAAGGCAAUCAAAGUACCAGGACUUUAUGCUCUGGAUACCAUCUUAAAAAUGAAUAUUAAAAUGGUUAAAUGGCAGGACAAUUGAAAGGAGCAAACUGAAUUGCAAACUGAAUUGGUUUCGAAUGAAUUCCAUUGAUAAACUUUACAGUAAUAUAUACAUCAGUAGGUCAACCAAUCAACCCUACAUUAAUACCUACAAAAUAGCAUCCCUAUUUUGAUGGGAUUUGAAACAUGUCAAUGUCAGAAUGAAACUAGAAACUCUCUUCUAUAAAUAGAGAUCACUCUCUCACAAUAUUUCCGAAUGUCAUUUGUACUAAAUCAUUCACUAGUACUCAUUAAAGGAGAGCUUGAACCUAUGUACUUGUGUAAACCCUUCAUAAUUAACGAGAACUCCUCUGCUUCGUGGACGUAGCCAAUCUGGGUGAACCACGUACAUCUUGUGUUUGCUUCCCUGUCACUAUCCAUUUACAUGCUUAUCCACACUAGUGAUCGGAGCAAUCUAGCGAAGGUCACAAACUUAACACUUUCUGUGGUACCAAAAUCCUCGCUGAUUUUGUGCAUCAACAUAUGGCGCCGUCUGUGGGAACGACACUUACUCCCACUCUUUUCAGCUUUGUCAAGCUGGUUUCCACCAUUCGUACACUCUCUUUUGACCAGGCAUCCUUCUCCAACAUGGGGAGCGAAAGAAGCCACAACACACAGAAUUACACCCCUUUUGUACCUAGUGCGAAGCAACGAAAGAAUGAAGGAAAUAGGGUUGCUCUUCAAGCUAAAGUCGAUGAGUUAAAAGCUCAGAACAACAAGAUAGCAAUGAAGAAUGAGGUCCUCCAGGAGCAGUAUGAGAAGCUCUUUGAGACGCUCCACGAAACUAGGCGUACUCAAACACGCGAGCUCGUUACCCCUGUGGACAUCAAUCAUCAUCUAGGUGCCCCCCAACACGGAGGGUCGCCUUCCUUCGACAUGGGUAUCCCUGAUGAGGAGCGAGCUAAUCAUCAAAACAUUGAUUAACAUGAGACUUCUCUUAACCCAGCUGCUUCGACCCGAAGUAGGAGAAGUGGAAGAAGACACCUCCUUACAGAAAGAGUGGAAGGAUCGAAAGCCGUCUUUCGCGACUGUCGAGAUUUCCUAAAGCAACGUCGAGACAAUCCUAUCCAUGUAAGCUCGAAUAUCAAUGACCCAUGGGCCUCUGAAAGACUCGAUUCCCUCCCAUGUCCCAGGCCGGCUACCAAUUUGGGGAAGGGGCAACAAGUCCUAGAGAAACAUGAAGGUAUAGGGGACUCAGAGAUGUUCCGACAGACAUACCUUGGAAGUCAGUAUGGCAAGUGCAGGGAAAAAUCACAUGCCCUUGAUCAAAUCUUCAUACUUCUAAGAGGAUAUGGAGAUUUAUGAAAGAAAGCUCAAGUGGUACAUGACUCCAUUCAAGACCCUCUUGUCCUACAGCUUCUUAAGGAAGUAAACAAGUUGAAGGCCGAACAACAAGCUAAGAUACUUGAUUGGAACCAGCCUAGGCCUGGCCCUCUUACAAGGAGGAUCCUCGACACCCCCUUCAAGUAAAGACAAAUCAAAAGCUUGGUUUACAACUCUAUACUGAAAGAGAGGACCCAAUUGAACACCUUAACCUCUUUGAGUCCACCAUGGCAUAUCGGAUGCACACCGACGAAAAGCGAUGCCUUCUCUUCCCCUUCACCCUCUCUGGAAGAGCUCUAAACUAGUAUUGCCAUCUUCCACCUGAAACAGUAGACUCAUUUAAGGAACUAAGGAAACUGUUUGUUUCUCAACAUAUCUUCCAGACCGAUCGCUUGCAUUCUGCAGAUGACUUGUACACUAUUCGCUAGAAGCCGGACGAGUGACUACGAGAGUAUGCCGGUCGUUUCAGCCAUGAGUAUUCUCGCUGCGCUGAGGCAGAUGACAAGACUGCCUUCAAGGCCUUCACAGCAGGCCUACGUGAUUAUUUCUUCAAGUACAUGAUCAAUGCCAACACUUGGAAAACUUACUCUGAGGCAAUGGCACAUGCUUACAACCAUGCCUCCGCCGAGGUAAGGACAUAUCAAGGGAAACCCCCCACAACCACCCUUUAUCAGCAAGUAGGGAGUGGAAGCCAGAUCCAACCAAAUGAGAAGACUUUGACCUUCCAAACGGCAGCAGUGCCUUCCCUUGCCUUACUUAAUACUUUGCCAAGUCAGCAAACAUAUCAAUCUCAGGGCAAAAGGAAAGAUUUCCAUCCUCACCAUUCUCAUUUUAGUAAAAGGAGUAAGGGACACUACUGCGAUAACCAAGGGUAUCGCUAUGAUAAUCCCGGACCCCAGGCAGUCAACACAGUGGGUCAAACAUGUGUCAGGACAGCCCCUACCCUGAGGUAUGAGGCAUACGCAGCUUUGAACGCCACAUGCGUGGCCAUUUACCCCAGCAUAACACACCUGAUACCGAAGCCAAAGCCGAGGCACCCAGAUUAUAUGCCCACGAAGAACACUAGCACGUUUUGCUGCUACCACGAGCAUAAUGGCCAUGACAGCGAGAAGUGUAUCACCCUUCGUGAUCAUAUUGAAGCUUUAGCACGUGAAGGAAAAAUUGAUCAAUUCCUCCUUCACCCUCCAAGGGGUAACCGUAACCAAUGCCAAGUGAAUGUGAUAUAUUCCAUAAGUGGUGGCACACCCAUAUCUAAAUCUUCCAAUAGGGCCAUGAAAAAUAGUGAACGAGCUUUAAGGUCUGGCCACCAAGUGUUUCACGUGGAAGACAUCCGGGAAGACAAGUAUCAAAAGCCUAAUUGGGAUCCAAUAUGUUUCUACCUUGAGGAAGAAAAAGUUAUCAUCUACCCUCACAACGACCCAUUGAUUGUGGAAGCUCACAUAACCAACUUUGAAGUAUAACGAAUCCUGGUAGACACGGGGCUUCGGUCAAUAUCAUGUUUGUUGAAGCUUUCAAGGCACUUAAUUUAGCUGAACACUUGCUCGAUUGCUCGAUUUCUCCUCUGAUAAGCUUCUCUGGUGAUAUCGUUCAACCUUUGGGGAGCAUACACUUACCUUUCACCAUUGGUACAGGCCCCUACACAGCUACCAUUACCACUAACUUCCUGGUGGUUGAUUGCCAAACGGCAUACAAUGUCAUCUUGGGACGCACAUACCUUAAUGAUCUUAAGGCCAUGGUAUCCAUACAUAUGUUAUUGAUGAAAUUUCCAACCCCCUAUGGCAAUGGUUACAUUAGAGGAGAUCAACUUAGUGCAUGAUCAUGUUACAACACUUCGGUCAAGCAACAACACUUGCAUGUGCCCAAGGAAACCCUUUCUAUACAUGACCAAGUUAUAAAGACCAGCCUAGACGAAGCCAACUUGGAUCUUCACGGUGGCAACAGUCAACCCGACGAUCCUCGAGAUUACUCUUUCACCCAGCAAGCACAACCCGCUGAAGAGUUGGAGAAUGUCUCUAUCUCAAAAGAUUAUCCGGAUCGCAUGGUGAAGAUUGGCACCACCUUGUCACCACCAAUUCAGUUGGCAUUGAUCUCUUUUUUGAAAUAGAACAUUGAGGUUUUCGCCUGGUCAUACGAGGACAUGCCAGACAUCUCUCCCGAUAUCAUCUGUCAUCGCUUAAGUAUUGACCCUAAGACCAAGCCAGUGAGACAAAAGCAAAGAUCAUAUGACGCUAAGCGGUACGAGACAAUAAAGUCAAUUAUCCAACGUGGGUAGUAAAUGUUGUCAUUGUUAAGAAGAAUCCAACCAAGGAAAGUCUCAUGCUCCAAAAGGUCUUGUGGAGAAUGUGUGUCGAUUACACCGACCUAAACAAAGGAUGCCCGAAUGAUAGCUUUCCUCUUCCUCUCAUUGACAGACUUAUAGACCUUAUGGCAAGGUGUGAACUCCUGAGCUUUAUGGAUGCUUACUCAGGAUACAACCAAAUCCUCAUGAACCCUCCGGACCAAGAACACAUAGCCUUCAUUACUGACAGGGGACUAUACUGCUAUAGGCCUAAAUAAUGCAGGAGCGACUUAUCAGAGACUGGUCAAUUCAAUGUUCACCGAACAGAUUGGGAAGAGCAUGAAAGUUUACGUUGAUGAUAUGCUAAUCACGAGCAAACAUGCUGACCAACACAUCACCAACCUAUCUGAAACUUUCAUCAUUCUAAAGAGGUAUCAAAUGAGGUUGAACCUUAACAAAUGUGCCUUCAACGUAGGCUUUGGCAAAUUCUUAGGCUUCAUGAUAAGCUAACGAGGCAUUGAGGCGGCUAAUCCCGAGAAGAUCAAAGCAAUCCUCGACAUGAAGGAACCAGUAACUUCAAAAGACAUCCAAAGCCUUACUGGCAAGGUGGCAGCCUUAACUAGGUUCAUCUCUAAGGCUACAGAUAGAUGUGCUCUUUUCUUCAAAGCACUUAAGGGAAGUAAGAAGUACAUUACAUGGACUGAUAAAUGUGCUGAGGCAUUCAAGAACCUCAAAGACUACAUGAGUAAAGCCCAUCUGCUUUCCAAACCUGAGGUUGGUGACACUCUCAUAAUCUAUCUGUCGGUAUCGGCUUCAGCAAUAAGUUCUGUUCUCAUUAGAAAGGAUGGUAAUGUUGAGAGACCUGUCUACUACGCUAGCAAGGCCUUACAAGAUGCAGAGACAUGAUACUCCAACAUUGAGAAAUUCGCUCUAGCAUUGGUCAUGUCUGCUCGAAAACUUCACCCUUACUUCCAAGCACACUCUAUUAUCGUGCUUACCAAUCAUCCUCUUCGACAGAUACUCCAAAGUCUUGACACUUUGGGGUGAAUGAUAAAAUGGGCGUUAGCAUUAGGUGAGUUUGACAUCUCCUACCAACCAAAGCCAGUUGAGAAGGGCCAAGCAGUGGCAAACUUCAUCGCCGACUUCACAUAUCCUGUUGACAUUGUUUCUACGCCUAAAGAAGUGGUUUCAUUACCUUCGGAAGCUCAGAAAAUAGAACCAACAGCCCUAGCAUGGAGUCUAUAUGUUGAUGGCUUGUCCAACCAACAUGGUUGUAGAGCAGGACUAGUCCUUACGACCCCUGACAAAGUGGCGAUAGAGUAUCCUCUUCGUUUUAAAUUCAAGGCGUCGAACAAUGAGGCCUAAUAUGAAGCCCUCAUAGCAGGUUUACGUUUGGCCCAACACCUUAGGGUUAAAUGAAUUGAUAUCGUCAGUAACUCCCAAUUGGUGGUUAACCAGGUCACCAACAACUUUGACGCUAAGGAUAGCUCCAUGGCAGCAUAUCUGACACAAACACAAUUGUUGCUCCAGCACUUCCACUAGCAGAUCACCCAAAUUCCUCGAGCGGUAAACAGUCAUGCAGAUACUUUGGCUCACCUCGCCUCAUCAGUGGAAGACAAGAUUGGGAGAAAAAUUCAUGUCGAAUUGUUGGUAACACCAAGCACCAUGGCUGCGGAAGUGUGCAACUUACAACAGGGGGAUAGUUGGAUUACCCCGAUUUAUAGAUUCCUUGCUCAUGGCACCCUUCCAAAUGACAAAGUCCAAGCUAAGCACAUUCAAUACAAGGCUACCCGUUACUUGAUCAUUAAUGACCAACUCUACAAAUGGGGUUUUAACCUACCAUACCUAAGAUGCCUUACGCCCGUAGAGGCGGAAACUGUCAUUCGGGAAAUACAUGAAGGAGUCUGCAGAGAUCAUGCUGGAUCUUGAUCCCUAGCACACAAGGCUUUUCGCUAAGGAUAUUAUUGGCCAACACUCCACCAAGAUGCCAUCAGAGUAUCCCGCUCAUGUGAUAAGUGUCAAUGUUACGUAACUAUUCCUCACUCCCCUCCCGAGCCACUCACUCCUAUGAUUAGCCCUUGGCCCUUCGCCAAAUGGGGACUUGAUUUGAUCGGCCCAAUGCCUGCAGGGAAGGGCAAGGUCCGCUAUGAAAUCGUUGCAGUUGACAACUUCACAAAGUGGGUCGAAGUAUAACCCUUGGCAACCCUUACUGAGGUAAAAAUAAAAGACUUCGUAUGGAAGAACAUCCUUUGCAUAUUCAGCAUUCCCAAUGCGAUAGUCAUUGACAACGGACGACAGUUUGACAACAAUAAGUUCAGGAUGUUCUGCUCUAAGUUCAACAGCAACUUAUGUUUUGCCUCCCCAGCUCUUCCCCAGUCUAAUAGACAAGUUAAAGCCAUCAACAAAAUAAUCAAGUGAACUUUGAAAACCAGCUUGGACAAGGCUAAAGGUUGUUGGCCAAAAUUUGUACCCCAAGUUCUUUGGUCAUACCGCACUUCGUAUCAGACAUCAACUGGAGAAACCCCAUUCUCACUUGCCUUUGGUAUAGAGGCAGUUGUCCCAGUUGAGCUUGAGCAAGCAAUGUUCUGAGUCCAGAACUACAUGCAAAGCGAAAAUGAUAAACAACUUACCCUAAACUUAGAUCUAGUCGAGGAACACAGAAACCAGGCUCACUUGAGGAAUGUCGCCUACAAGUAGUGUAUCUCCAACUAUUAUGAUUCAAGGGUCAAACCUUGUUCUUUCAAAGUGGGGGAUUAGGUAUUGAAGAAAAGAUUACUCUGCAACAGAGUCCCGAAUGAAUGAACAUUUAGUCCAAACUGGGAUGGACCGUUUGAAGUUGUUGGCAUCAGUCGCCCUGGCUCCUACAAGCUUAGAAGCUCCGAUGGUAAGACCUUUAGCCAUCCAUGGAACGCUGAUCACUUGAAGUACUAUUACAAGUAAACCCACAUUAUACAAGUGUUAAGCUUCAGCCGUUCGACAUCCUAUGUAACGAAGACUAUUUGGCAUGAAUUUAAUAAAGAGGUGAUUUAGACAACUCAAUCCUAAUCCUCUUAUAUUCCUAGCAAUGAAACACUCGGGUUCAAAGCUUGAACAUGAAUGAUUCCAACAUGGAACAAAGUCUAAGUAUAUGUCAACAAGACUAUACAAAUAAACGAACAGCUUCACAGUAUAUUCGUUCAAUCAUACAUUCCAACACAUUCAUACAUAAGCCAAUUGUGCUUUGAAAGGGUUCAACAUACUUUGUGUCAUUCGACACUUGCUACAAUGUGCCAAGACACCUUGCCCUUAUUCUCACCAACCAGGUGAUGAAAUGUACAACCCGUACUCUCCUUCAUGCCAUCAACCAGGUGAUAAAAUGUAUAACCCGUACUCUAAUAUCAUUUGGCAACUUGCCACUCAUGCCACCAACCAGGUGAAGAAGGAACUCAUAUUCAUACCACCAACCAGGUGAUGAAAUGUACAACCCGUACUCUCCUUCGUGCCACCAACUAGGUGAUGAAAUGUACAACCCGUACUCUAAUAUCAUUUGGCAACUUGCCAUUCAUGCCACUAACCAGGGGAAGAAGAAACUCAUCCUCGUGCCACCAACCAGGUGAUGAAAUAUACAACCUGUACUCUCUUCCAUGCCACCAACUAGGUGAUGAAAUGUACAACCUGUACUCUAAUAUCAUUUGACAACUUGCCAUUCAUGCCACCAACCAGGGGAAGAAGGAACUCAUCCUCGUGCCACCAACCAGGUGAUGAAAUGUGAUGAAAGGUGAUGAAAGAACUCACCUUCGUACCACUAACCAAGUGAUGAAAGCAACUCACCAUUCAUCCCACCUACCAAAAGACGAGUGGUACAAAUUGUACAUGUGAACUCCUAGUAAUCAUAAAUAAUCAAAAACCCUCAAGCUUGACAACUCAACUAGGGGACCACUUAUGCCCAAUAAGAGUUAUAGUCACCAACAAAGUCUUAUUGCAAGCCAACAACAACUUCAGUACAUGGCAUACGAAGAUCAAGCUAUUCAGCCUUCUUGCAUCUGCUUUAAACAUUUCCCCUCUGUAACAAUGCAAACACUACAACUCGUAGAAAGUUUCACACACUCUUGAUCAAGAUAGUGUGAAGCAAAACCAAUUUAUGGUGCCAACAAGAGCUUCAUCAAUGGAGAGAAACCACAAUUCUCAAAAGCUUCACACACUUUUGAUUAAAACAGUGUGAAGCAAAACCAAUUUAUGGUGCCAACAAGAGCUUCAUCAAAGGAGUUCAACCACAAUUCUCAAAAGCUUCACACACUCUUGAUCAAGCCAGUGUGAAGCAAAACCAAUUUAUGGUGCCAACAAAAGCUUCAUCAAUGGAAGGCAACCACAAUUCUCAGAAGCUUCACACACUCUUGAUCAAGACAGUGUGAAGCAAAACCAAUUUAUGGUGCCAACAAAAGCUUCAUCAAAGGAGUUCAACCACAAUUCUCAAAAGCUUCACACACUCUUGAUCAAGACAGUGUGAAGCAAAACCAAUUUAUGGUGCCAACAAAAGCUUCAUCAAUAAAGGGCAACUACAAUUCUCAAACCUUCGAAGCAAAUUCAAGACUGUUCGAAGCAAAUUCAAUUUAUAUGGUUCAUCCAAACCUUCGACUACUAUAAGGUGUGGCUUGCAUCACAAUCUCUUGCUCAACAGUGUGGAAGCAAAAUUUGUAUAUGUUGUCUCUCCCACAUUUUCAAAUUUCUAGUUUCCCAAAAAAAAAAAAAAAAGGGGAAAUUCAACAAAGCUUCAUCAACGGAGGACAACUACAAAUUCUCAAAAGCUUCACACUAUCUUGAUCAAGAUAGUGUGAAGCAAAAUCAAUUCGUGAUACCCAACAAAGCAUCACCACAAAAGCUUCACCAACAAAAGCUUCAUCAAUGGAGGACAACUACAAAUUCUCAAAAGCUUCACACUAUCUUGAUCAAGAUAGUGUGAAGCAAAAUCAAUUCAUGGUACCCAACAAAAGUUUCACCCAUAAAAGCUUCACCAACAAAAGCUUCAACUCCAAAGCUUCACCAACAAAAGCUUCAUCAAUGGAGGACAACUACAAAUUCUCAAAAGCUUCACACUAUCUUGAUCAAGAUAGUGUGAAGCAAAAUCAAUUCAUGGUACCCAACAAAAGCUUCAACUCCAAAGCUUCAUCUACCAAGCUUCACCCACAAAAGCUUCACCCAUAAAAGCUUCACCAACAAAAGCUUCCCCCACAAAAGCUUCACCCACCACAAAAGCUUCACCCACCUUAAAAGCUUCACCUACAAAAGCUUCACCCAUAAAAGCUUCACCAACAAAAGCUUCACCCACCACAAAAGCUUUUCCUACAAAAGCUUCACCCAUAAAAGCUUCACCCACAAAAGCUUCACCCACCACAAAAGCUUCACCUACAAAAGCUUCACCCAUAAAAGCUUCACCAACAAAAGCUUCACCCACAAAAGCUUCCCCACGACAAAAGCUUCACCCACAAAAGCUUCCCCUACCACAAAAGCUUCACCCACAAAAGCUUCACCCAUAAAAGUUUCACCAACAAAAGCUUCACCCACCACAAAAGCUUCACCUACAAAGCUUCACCUACAAAAGCUUCACACUAUUUUGAUCAAGAUUGUGUGAAGCAAAAUCAAUUCAUAGUACCCAACAAAGCUUCAACCUCAAAGCUUUACCUACAAAGCUUCAACACCAAAACUUCACCUACAAAGCUUUAAAAUAUAUAUAUAUUUUUUCGGAAAUUCGAAAAUUCAAAAAUUCGAAAAAAAAAAAUUUGAAAAACAAAUUGCCUAGGCCUCCUCUUCUUUGGGCCAAACAACUUUCAUAACAAAUAUAUAUGAAGGAGUUUUGGGCUACCACUUAGAAAGGAAAUGCCUCAUUCGUUAACUCUCUCGACCGGAGACUUGGGGGACUCCUACCAUAUGCUACUGCACCUUGAUACUCGGAAGUCUCAGAACCACUUAGUGACUUGGAUUUUUCAAGUCUCCAAAAGAGAAGUUUUCCUCACUCGGGAAAUUAAGGGAACACUACCUCAACCUACAUGCUUCACUCACAAAGCUUCAACAUACAAGCUUCAACAAAAGGAAAAAUUCAAAGAACUUAGUGAAGAAGGCCUUGGUGUAUUUAACACAAUACGUUAAAAUGAAGCAAAGCUUGUUUAUUGAUAUCUCCGAUAAGUUUCAAAUAUGUACAUAUACAUGAAUCAAAAUAAACAAACAAGAGGGAGCCUUCACAAAGGUUGCUCAGGAGAAGUCUCAGCAGUCGGCAGAGCCCCAGAAAGAAGAGGCACCAGAGGGUAAUUAUUCGGAGCCUCAAUACAAGGUAGAACCCCAGAAGGAGGAGGCACCGAAAGUUGAUCAUUUGGAGCUUCAUUACGCGGUACCGCCCCAGAAGACGAAGGUAAUAAAUGCCUUUGGAACAAACCUACAAACCUCUGAUGAUCAAGUAAAAUCUGACCAUCAGAUUCUUGUAGCUGGUUGAGCUUCCUCUUCAUGUUUGUAGCAUAGUCAUGUGCAAGCCUGUGCAACUGUUUAUUCUCUUGCUUGAGCCCUCUUAUCUCCUGUUUGAGACUUAUCACUUCAGCCGCCAAUGAUUCAACUUGGCAGGUUUGAGCAAAUAGGCGUUGGGCCAUAUUAAACACAGAACCUACACACUGAACACUGAGAGCCAGAGAAUCCUUAACAGCCAAUGGAAAGUAGUAUGUUAUCUUUGGGAGUGAGAAGGUUCCUGGCCACCACCGCAGUGGUCAUAUCAUUCUUCAUCACAGAGUCCCCAACAGUAAGAGGACCAGUAAGGGAUAAGAAUGAUGGGCGCCAUAUGUUUUCUUGAGAAGGCAUGGCUACCUCUUCACCAAAGUUCAAGUCAAAACGACGGUCAGAUGGGCUAGACAUUCUCGGAAAUGAUGAAGGAGAAAUGAGAUGCAAUAAAUCUCUGAAGUAAGGGGAAAAUUCCUAUAAGCAAUAACUUUCUGAAUGUACUUCUUGCACACAAUUGGUGCCCUUAUAAAAGAAAGGGCAACAGGGCCGUUGGUUCAAAAAUCGAAGAGGCACCACUCUCUAGAUUCCGAAGAGGCACCACUUUCCACACCAACAUCAGCUCCUUGGGUACCACAGAUAACUUUGCCAAAGAUCUUUGACAAAGUUUAAACACAUAAAUUUUGAAGGUCCAACUACCCUGCUAUUACCCACAAAGGUAAAGGAACAUCACCACUGCUUGAUAACUAGAAAGUCCCAAUCUGUGUCAACCUCCGUGCCCCAUGGCAAGGCAGACUGGAAAAAAUGCCCAACCUUUACUCACAUUCGAGACUCCCAACAAGAUUGCUUGCUCAAAAAUCGAAGAGGCACCGCUCUCCGAAUCUCGAGAGCCAGACUUCCAACAGGAUUAUGUGCUCAAAAAUCGAAGAGGCACCGCCCUCCGAAUCUCAAGAGCCAGACUCCCAAUAGGAUUACUUUCUCAAACAUCGAAGAGACACUACUCUUCGAAUCUCAAGAGUCAGACUCCCAACAAGAUUGGUUUCUCAAAAAUUGAAGAGGCACCGCCCUCCGAAUCUCGAGAGCCAGACUCCCAACAUGAUUACUUUCUCAAAAAUUGAAGAAACACUGCUCUCCGAAUCUCAAGAGUCAGACUCCCAAUAGGAUUGCUUUCUCAAAAAUCAAAGAGGCACCGCCUUCCUAAUCUUGAGAGCCAGAUUCCUAACAGGAUUACUUUCUCAAAAAUUGAAGAGACACUGCUCUCCGAAUCUCAAGAGUCAGAUUUCCUUGGAUAAAACUUGUCUGCAAUCUUCACACGCAACAUCAGCUUUCCAGAUACCACAUACCACUUUUUCAAAGUGCUCUGACAAAGUUAAAAAUCGUGAAGCUUGCAGCUCCCACUACAUUGAUAUGACCAAGAAGGGUAAAAGAAUAGCACUACUACUUGUAUUAGGGAGACUCCUAUAUAUAUCGACCUCCAUCCUCCACAGCCAGGCAGACCUGCAAAUAAAUAAAAAAUGCUCAACUUUUCUUCACAUCUGAGAGGGCACUCUCAGCAGAGUCUCUCGAAAUACUCAGCCUCUUUUCCUCCCGAUAAUACCUCUGCAAACAAGCCACACCAGAGCAAGAGUAUCUCAUAUCAUCAGGGUUAAAAGCAAAAGUAUCCUAUAUCAUGCUUUUUCCCUGUCUUUUCCUUUGGCCUUGUUCUUACCUACAAGACAAGGAGAAAAAGAGCAAUCAGUCAACACUUGGAAUCAAGCUUCCAGUCAGGAAAUUACUUUCUGGAACCCCUUGCCUGAUUACUUACCUAGCAUUGCUCUUGAGUACUCAUCUUCAACAUUUUAUGCUUCCAGAGAAGAUACCAUAUCUGCAUGAGGAACAAAUAGGGCAAGUGAGAAGGAUACAAGGAAGCAUGUGGAGACAAGCAUAACAGAACACAUGCCGAUACAUCCACUACUUUGUCAACAGCAAAAGUAUCCUAUAUCAUCAGGGUAUCGUACUCUAGAUUUGAUGGACUUGUUUUGACCCUCAAAUUCUUGAGUCACCCUAUACUCUGGAGGAAACCAGAAAACACUCUAGCCCAGUUCAAGAAUAAGCCUGUGGAAAGUUACUUCUUCAAAAGAAAAAGUAUCUCAUAUCUUCUCUUCUCCAUUUGCUUCUCCUUAUCCUUGUUGUUGUUUAUGACAGAAGGAGAAGAAGAACAAUCAAUCGGAAGCCGCAGUCAAACCUCCGAUCCAGGUUGUUUGCUUGGAAGUCUGAUUGCUUACCUUGUCUGUUACCUCCUUCGGCAAAUCUCCUAGCUCGGCAACUUGGGGGACUCCUACUAUAGGGUUUGUAUCGCACUUGACCAAGCCCGAAACUACAAGUAAGCUUCAAGUGAAAUUGAUACAUUACCUUGUGCAUCUUCAUCAGUUAAAAAUACCACCCCUGGAUGGAGGAAAAGUACUUCCAGAGAAAAUUCCACAUCUACAUAUGAGACAGAUAAGGCAAGUAAAAAUGAUACCACACUUCGGUACUUAGAAGUUUCGUGAUUACUCAAUGGCUUGGAUCUUGCAAGUCCCCAACUGAGGAGCUUCCUUCACUCGGGAACUUAGGGGAGCACUGUUUGUAUCAUACUUGACCAAUCCUGAAACUAUUGAGCACCGGUCAAUGAUAGGAGCAUAUUUAUGUGACUUAGUUAGCUUGUUUCUUGGCAUUUAUGUUGUUAGUUCGUAGUUAUUUUAGUAUUUUAAGCUAUUUUCGUGUGUUUGUAGGUCCAAAGGGUUAAUGUGGCAAAGAAGUGCAUUUUGGAGCAUUUUGGAGCAUUUUUAGGCAUGGAAUGGAUAGCAUAUGCUUGGAGCAAAAGGAAUGGACGAAAUUUGAAGUUUGUGCAUCAUCCUCUCCCUAUAAAUAAUCAUUUUAGCACACUCACUUCACCCAACACAUUCACCUACCACUACAUCCCACUCAUUUCACCCAACACAUCCAUUCUCCAAACAUCCAUCCACUACACCCAUUACAUCCACUCAUUACCAAACACUCAUCCACUUAUUACCAAACAUUCAUCCACUACACCCAUUACAUCCACUCAUUACCAAACAUCCACCCACUACACCCAUUACAUCCACUCAUUACCACAACACUCACCCACUACACCCAUUACAUCUACUCAUUACAACUCCAUACACUUCUCUCCCUAGCCUAUAAAUACAUCCACCCUUCACCAUAAUUUGGGGGCCAUCAUCCAAAGACACCACAUCAUCUACACAACUCUCCACCCUUCACCAUAACUCACCUAUAUCCAUCCACCACUAAGAGACCAUCCAUUCACCACUCACACCUUGGUGCCGCAUAUUUGCAAGGAAGGAAGAUUGCUUGGAGUUGUGCUAGUCAUUCAAUUUGGAUUGCUGGAGCAUUCUAGGUGUAUUCUACUUUGGUUUUCAAUGUUUAAUUUCAAUUGUUUCUAUUUAAUUGCAAGUAUGAGGAACUAAACCUCUUUUGGCUAGAGGAGAAUUCGAAACCAUGAAUAUAUUUGCAAUAUGAAUUGAUUUCUUCCAAUUGUGAUUUGAUAAGUUGUGAUUGCAAUUCAAUUAUCUAUUUUAUUCAUAACAGAUUUGUGUAUGUUUAUUAAGGAUGCAUACUUAGUUUUCAUGCAUGAAUUUGAUGCUAGGAUAUAAAUAAGUUUCAACUAAUCGUUACAAGUUUAUAUUCAUGAGUAGUGAAGGUUGCUUGUCACAAUCGCGUUAAUUGAAUUCUUGGCAAACGUAUCAUGCAUUCAUAGUUACAAUUGCCUCGUCAACGCUUAUGAUUUUCAUGGAACUUAAUGAUUUUAAUUGUAUCUCUAUUAUGCAUUCAUAUAAGGGACUUUUAGAGAAUGAUUUGGGUUGUCGCAUGCAUUCAUCCAAUUCAAUAAGUAAAGGAAAAUCUGAGGGUUAAUUUGUGCAUCACGGUUAAUCUGGGAUGUUGAGCAUCGUAGUUUAUUGAAAAGCAAUUGGAGAUUGAUUUGUAUGCAAGUGUGUUAUAUGUGGAGAAAGACCUUCUAGCUAGCCCAUCAUCCAUCCAAAACAACCAAUUUCGUGCAAAUCUGUUUAGUUCUAGUUUCUAUUUUGUUUUACUUUAUUUUCGUCCAAAACCUAAUCCCCAUUUACUUUAGUGUAUCUAAUUAGUUAUAAUCUGUUUUAGUUUGUGUUUUUAAGUGUUUUGAGUCUAUAGAGUCUAGUUAAGUGUUUUUAAGUUUCUUUUAGUAAGUCAGUUUAGUUUAGAUUAGCAAUCCCUCCUAAUCCCCGGUCCAGAACGAUCCCUACUUAUACAUAUACUACAAUUGUCAAAAGAGGGUUUAAUUUGAGUGCUUAACUUUCAUCGCAUCAGUCAACGUUACCGUCAAGGACCCAGAAGAGUUUCCUUUCAACUAGGAGGCCAAUCACAGCGCGACACGUGUCGACAUCAGAAGCCAAUCAUAGCGCGACACGUGUCAACAUUAUAAGCCAAUCACAACACGACACGUGUCAAUGUCAGAAUGAAACUAGAAACUCUCUUCUAUAAAUAGAGAUCAUUCUCUCACAAUAUUUUCGAAUUUCAUUUGUACUAAAUCAUUCACUAGUACUCACUAAAGGAGAGCUUGAACCUAUGUACUUGUGUAAACCCUUCAUAAUUAAUAAAAACUCCUCUACUCCGUGGACAUAGCCAAUUUGGAUGAACCAUGUACAUCUUGUGUUUGCUUCCCUGUAUCUAUCCAUUUACAUACUUAUCCACACUAGUGACCGGAGCAAUCUAGCGAAGGUCACAAACUUAACACUUUCUGUUGUACCAAAGUUCUCGCUGAUUUUGUGCAUCAACACACACUAUACAUUGAGAACCCCGUGCAACAUGUCAAUUGCCAUCCUGAGUUGGUAUGCAGGGAUGUUAGAUGUCAUAAUUACAUCCAAAGGAAGGCUAGCAAACAACAACUUAAUCACUUUUAAGGUGAAAAUAUUGCAUCCGCAUGUGCAAUUCAACAAGUUUGAUAGACAAUUAAAUAAUUUAACUAAACUCAAUGACAAAUAAGUGAAACUUCAACUCACCCAUUCUCUUGUUGUGGAGACCUUGGACUUAUGUUGAUCAACCAAGGUUUCUUCUUCAUAUCCCUUGAUAAGCUAAUGAGGACAUAUGGCAAUACGUGAGUGUGAGAGCCAAUUUUGCAAUUGCUUGCCGUAUGUGGGUGGCCGUCUUAAUUGAGUCAUACACAAAUAUUUUCCCAUCUUUAAGGUUCAACUCUACUGCCACCCACAAGUGAUCAAGGUUGAUAGGCAUGUACACCCUAUCAAUAUCCUUUAUCCAUGAUGCAUCAAACUCCACCCCCUUCCGCGUCACUACUUUGUGCAACAUUGGCUCAUAUUGUUUGGAUGCAACGCCUUUCCACCCUCUACUUUUCAAUUUAGCAUUACUCUCAUCAUAGCUUUGUUGAUAGUAGAAGUAUCUACAAGUGUAAAAUACAACGAAAAACAUGUACAACACUUCAUCGAAACAAAAAUACACUCAACAUUACAAUUGCCAAACUUUUCAAUAUUAGGAGAAAUUAAGUGGGAUACAUUACCAAAAACAUGUACCAUUUUCCGAUGUCAAAGAUUAAAGGGGUGUGGCAAACCACUUGCAUCCUUUUUUUUUCCUGCCCCCUUCUGCUUCGCACAGACGUUACGUUGACUUUGCCCUUGUACAUAAGACCUUCAUCUUGGUUCCCACAUGCUGGCCCUUAGGUGUGUAUAUCACCACCUCAUCGUCAUCAUCCAAAACCUUGACAUCUUCAUACUCUUCUAAUGCCCGUUCUCUAAUUAAACCAACCAUCUUUCCAUAUACAUCUAAGGGACUGGCCUAAUCAACAGUCUCGACAAACUCAUUCAAACCUUUUUCCUCCACAACUUCCAUUAAUUACCUCGUUCCCUCUCGAUCCCUUGCCUCCUCCCUAUUUGCCUUCAUCCCUUAAUUCCUCCUCCUGACUCCCAUCCACGCCCAUUGGUUUUUCCACCCCUCUUUCCAAACCAUUUUUUUCAUCACCCCCUUUUUCACCACCCUAUUCUUCUUCUUUUGCUUUAUCUUCUUCUUCUUCUUCCAUAACAAUUUGUAUAUUACUGCCAAUUUGACCACCCUCGUCUUUUUUUUCACCUUUUUAUCUUCUUCUUCUUCUUUUGCACCUUCAUCUUCUUAUUCUUUUUCUCCCUUUUAUUCAUCUUCUCAUUCCUCUUCAACUUGUUUUCCCACAUCUUUUUUUUUCUUUCUUCUUCUUCCUCGAUAUUCUCCUCCACAUGUUUUUUCUUCACUACUCUUCUUAAUUCCUUACCACCUUCGAUAGUUCUUCCACUUUCCUCAGCAAAAUCUUGUCUAAUAUCUCCUUCUCAAGGGCCAACCGCGCGAAUGACACCUUCAACGGCAUUGUCAACUCACCGACAUCAUUUAUGUUUGGAGUCAAGUUCUCAAGAAUCAUAAUAUCCGCAUCAUCCCCCCACGUCCAGUACUAUUUGUUCCUUUCUGCUUCAGUCAGAACAAUUUCUCUAAUCCCCACAUCCUACCAUUUAAACCACGCAUCAUAAAUGCAUUUCUCACACAUACAAUAUUCACACAUUCACUUUCAUUCAUAUAAAAUUCAACAGUUUUGCAAUACAAUUAUACCUCUCGACUCUCGUUUAUAUACAACUGCAGCUGUUCGUGGAUCUGCUAUUUCUUCGUUGUCUUCUAUUGCAAAAUUCUCGGUGUAGCUGCCGGAUCUACGAUUUUGCAGUAAUAUAGGGGCUUUUCAAGUUGGAGAAUUUUUUUGUAUGCCCACAUUUGCACAUAUUCCUUAAUAAAUGAAUACCCAAUCACAUUAAUAAAGACGAGAGCAACACAUAUUACCUGAAAAAUGUUGGAAAAUCCUUUGCAGCACCAUCCAGAAUGAUGCGCCCUCUUCGUUCCCUUAACUUCUUUUUCUUCCUCAUCUCACUCACCACACCUUCAACCCUACCUCUACAUCUUGUUAAAGCAGCAAAUGAGAGGUUGUCAUUAAGUUUGUUAAUGCACAAAACCGGAGGUCUUGGAACAACGUAAAUCCGACAGUGAAUCUGCAAGAAAUGUAAAGAACACAAGAUGUAUCGCGGUUCACCCCAAUGUUUGGGCUACGUCCACACUGAUAUUGUAUUUCUCUGUUUGUGAGAGGAUUGAAAGGGUGAGAGCUUUGCUCUAAAUAUGAGAGGGGGUGUGAGGCUUUGGGGAUCUCAGGCCUAGGAAUUGGCCUCCCUUAAUGAGGAGAGUGAGGAGUUAUUUUAUAGAAUAAGGGCUCCUCACUUAUUACAUAUUUGCCCCUUCUUUUAUUACAUAAUUACAUUUGAGUCCCCCGAGUAUUUAUACGAGGUCUAAAUACGGAGGCCCUAAGUAUGGUACAAACAGUAGUCCCCCAAGUCUUCAGUUAAGAGAGUCUUUUGGCAGGAGACUUGAAAUUCAGCCCAUGUGUGGGCCGAAGUAGCUAGAUGUCGUCUAGAACUGAAUACUCAAUAUGAGGCGGUGCUUAAUCUGAAAUGAUGCUUAACUAGAAGUAGCACAUGUUGUGAGGCUGCUCGGUUUGUGGCUUAUGUUGCCUUGGUUGGCUCGGCUUGUGGCGUUGAAGGUGAGGGAGUCCAUUUUAUAGAAUAAGGGCUCGCUCCUCAAUACAUAAGUGAUGGGUUAGGAGUGAUGCUCGCGGUGAGAUGGUUGCUCAGCUGGCGGCGAUGCUCUCUAAUGAUGGUAAGGAAGUCCUUUUUAUAGAAUAAGGUCUCGCUCCUCAAUACAUAAGUGAUGGGUUAGGAGUGAUGCUCGCGGUGAGGCGGUAGCUCAGCUGGCGGCGAUGCUCUCUAAUGAAGAGGAGGGAGUCCCUUUUAUAAAUUAAGGGCUCGCUCCUCAGUACAUGAAUAAUGGGUGCUCUCUAAUGAAAGUGAGAGAGUCCCUUUUAUAGAAUAAUGCCUCGCUCCUUAGUACAUAAAUAAUGGGCUAAGUCCCCCAAGUAUUUCUCAUGAGACCCAGUUGAGGCCCAAUAUAUGGUACAUAAUGUAGUCCUCUAAGUCUUUGGUCAAUAGAGUCUGUUGGCUGGAGACUUCAAAUUGAAUCCAUGUAUGGGCCGAAGUGGUGGUUGUUCGGAGUCGGUAUUUGUAUACCCUGCACUGAAGCUUUGUAGGUGAAGCUUUGCAAGUGAAGCUUUGAAGCUAGAGCUCUAUAAAUGAAACUUUUGAAGUUAGAGCUCUGUAAAUGAAGCUUUUGAAGCUAGAUUGACAUGAGUGAUGCUCAUGGAUGUUGACAUGAGUGAUGCUCAUGAAUGUUGACAUAAGUGAUGCUCAUGAAUGUUGACAUGAAUGAUGGUCAUGAAUGUUUAUGUAUGAUUGUCAUGAAUGAUGCUCAUGAAUGUUUAUGUAUGAAUGACAUAAGUGAUACUCAUGUAUAAUUUUGAAGUAUUGGACGUACUUUUGAUCACCUAGUGGGUGAUAAUAGUGGCAGGUUGUCGAAUAAUUUUGGAGUACUGGGUGUACUUUUGAUCACCUGGUUAGUGAUAAUAGCUGCAGGUUGCCGAAUGAUUUUGGAGUAUUGGGCGUACUUUUGAUCACCUGGUUGGUGAUAAUAGCGGCAGACUGCCGAAUAAUUUUUGGAGUACUAGGCAUGCUUUUGAUCACCUGGUUGGUGAUAAUAGCAGCAGGCUGCCGAAUAAUUUUUUGUAGCACUGGACGUACUUUUGAUCACUUGGUUGGUGAUAAUAGAGAGCCUGGUUAUUUUGGGCAUAUGGGCCUUCGCUCUACACAUAACAUUCUAGCCCAUUAUUUUGGGCCUUUAGUUUUUUAUUUUUUUUAUUUUUAUUUUUAUUUUAUUUUUACUACCCUCUGAUGGGGUUUAUACAAAUGCCUUCGAAAGAUAAGAAAAAUAAAUUACAUCAUUCAAAAAUAAAUCCGACCCUCUGCUCAAUGGGUCACACCCAUAAUUCCUUUUUCUGCAUGCCAUCACCACUGCAAUUAUGUCUGCUUCUUUUUAUCUUCUUUUGCUUUUUGCUUUUGCUUUUGCGUUCUGUUUUUUGCUUUCUACUUGGUUGCUGCUGGGGCCUUGUAGUGGGAUGGCAUGUGAGGAAAGCCUCCCUUUUCUUUUCCUAGCGCUCCGUGGUCCACGAGUCUACAACUUGUUAUCCACCUGCACUCUUGAUUUGCGCCAGAUGCUAAUUGCUCCCUAAAGGUGGAGAACAAAUUGCUUUCAGUCCCUUCAACAUAACUUUGACUGCUGGAAGGCUGCAAAAGAAAAGGGUGAAGAGAGAGGUUUCUGUUCUCGAUACUUUGUGUCUUCAAACACGAUGCACAUGCUAUUUGGUAUGCGUGGGUAGCUCAAAAAGGAGCUAAGUCGGCAUGGGUUUAUAGAUGAAUCUGCAAGAUGUAUCGUGGGGUGAACUCCAAGCUGUUAUUCUAUGCGGCAUGGGUUUACAAAUGAUGCAGCAUCACGAUUUCCGAUUCUAUCAUAAUGAAUUUCAGUGCAAGGACCACAAGGACCAGUAUCUCCCAUCUCUCAUAAGUUAUCCUUACAGCCAAACGGUAGUACAUAACCAGCUGGUAGAAACUUAAGCCACAACUUUCUAACUUCAUCAUCAGGAGCAAGACCAAUUUUCUCAUCACCACCAAAAUAGGUGGCAUAAAUUCGAUCUUUUGGCAGCUUAUAAACUUUUGUGAGAAGCUUCCAUGCCCAUCCAAUGGCCUCUUUUUUGAAAUAAUCCCCGAAAGACCAAUUACCAAGCAUCUCAAAGAAGGUGUGGUGGUAAGCGUCUUUCCCUACAUCAUCGAGAUUGUUGUACUUUCAAGGCAAAUUCGGCACUGGAUUUGUUCGCCAGGGCCCACCUUGAGGUCAAUCUUGCUAGGCUCGGUGGUCUGCUUUGGAGGCAUGAGAGGCGAAGCAUCUAAGUGAGAUGUGAAAUACUUUUGAAGCUCCCAACCCUUCUCUUUCCUCUACAAACUCCGGACAGCCAGGAUCGCUCAACUGGAAGACGACCCAGAAGGCGAGGUAAUUGAGAUCUCAAAUCGAUUUGGUACUGGAUUAGAAUGAAACCCCUAAGGAUUUUGAUUGCUGCUUUGCUUAAUUGGCCGUUUUGUUUUUCUGAAACCAGAGAGGUGUUGGGCUGAUUUAUAGGUGACGUGAGAGGGCAUCGACGAUGAUUUGCCCACUGCGUGAUGUAUAGGCUACUAUGAUAGGCUGGCUAUGAGGUUUCUUGGAAACCGCUAGGCUUGAUUGGGACUUGAGAAAUGUUUUCUUCACAAAAUCGUCAUCAUCAUGAACAAAUUUAACCUUAUAAUUUCAGGACUUCUUUCUUCACGUAUUUGCUUCGCUUUCAGAUGAUGUAAAACUUGAUGAGCAACUUUCAAAAUGAGACUUCAUGGUUGGAACCAGGUCGAUCUUGAAACUCAACCGGGCUGAUCUCGUCCGCACGAUUGGCGGGCCUAUAGUAUCCUGUCGUGUUUCUAACGCUGCUGCUGUGACCGGGACCUGGAGCGGAAGACAUGGAUUUUGCAGUGACUCAGGUGUUUGGUUCUUAGGUUGUGCAGAUUCACGGUGGACAAUGGUGAGGUUUCACGGUGGUGAGAUGAAAAAAUGAAAGAGAACCGACAUAGCUUUUUGUGUCGAUUCCCACAGACGGCUGAUGCGAAAUAUAUAAGCACACAAAUUAAACCCUCUUUUUAUCAAUUGUAGUAAAGUAUGUAAGUAGGGAUCGUUCUAGGCCGGGGAUUAGGAGGGAUUGCUAAAUCACUUGGAAACUGACUUGAAAACGUAAAAACAAAGUUUAAAACACUAACUAGACUCAAAGAAUGCAAAACUAUACUUUAAAACACUAAAACAAACCAAAAGACUCAAAACAGCCCCUAAACACUCAAAACUACCUUAAACACACAAUCUGGGCAGUUUUGGGACUCUAACACAAACUUGGACGAAUUUUGGUUUUCUAAUGAACUAAAACACUUAAAAACAUAAUCUAAGACAAGUUCUAAUUAAUAUGACUCAAAGAAAUAAGAUGGGGUUGAUUUUGGACGAAAAUAAUUAAAUUAAGACAAGAACAAAGUAAACAAAUUCUUAGACAAAUUUAAGUGAAUCAAAACGGAUUGUAAAAUGAAUUUGAAUGAAACUUAUGGAUGGAAGGCUAGCUAGGAGGUUCUUCUCCACACAUGUCACACUUGCAUACAAAACGAUUUCCAGUUGCUUUUCGAUAAGCUAUGAAUACUCAACGCCCCAAAUUAACCGUGAAUUGCACUAAUUAACCCUCAGUUUUUCCACAAGUUAUUGGGUUGGAUGAUUGCAUACGACAACCCAAAACAUUCCCUACAAGUUCCCUACAUGAAUUGCAUAAUAGAGAUACAAGCAAGAAUCAUUAAGUUCUAUGAAAAACAUAAGCAUUGACGAAGCACUCGUUACUAUGAUUUGCAUGAAACUUAUGCCAAGAAUUUACUUAACGUGAUUGUGACAAGCAACCUUCACUACUUGUGAAUAUAAGUUCAUAACGAUUAGGUGAAACUCCCUUAUAUUCUAGCGUUAAAUUCAUGCAUGAAAAUUAAGCGUGCACUCUCAACCAACAUACACAAAUCAUUUUUUAUACGAUCGGAUAAGUAAAUUGAAUUCACAACUUAUGAAUCACAACUGGAUGUAAUCAAAUCAUAUUGCAAGUAUGAACAUGGUUUCGAAUCACCCCCUAACUAAGAGGGGUUUAGUUCCUCAUACUCACAAAGCAAAGAUACAUAAAAUUAGACAUUAAAAUCAAAGGAAAGAAAACACCUAAAAUGCUCCAACUUGGGUAGCAAGUGCAUCCAAGAAUUCUCCUUUGCUUGCUUGCGGCAGAUUGCUUUGUGGACGGGUUUUUGGGUAGUUUUAUGAUGUAGAAUGGAUGGGGAAUGGUAUGGAAAGGUUUAGGGUAAGUGUGGAGGAGUGUUUGAGGGUUGGAGGGUGGUGGAGAACUAGGCAAAGAGGGUGGAAGAAGGUGGAGUGGCUGUUAUGUUUUUCUAGGCACUAGAAUGGUGUUUUUUGGGGUGUUUUGCUACCUAGGGUGAGUAUGGACGAAUUUCUGUGAUGAAUGGUGAAUAUGAGAGUGUGAACCCUUUGCCAAGGGGUGUAAACAUGUAUAUAUAGGCCCCAAAAACCUUAGAGAAUCAGGUUAGGCUAGGGAGAAUGCAAGGCAAAGAGUGUAUGUGGUGUGCAAUGGUCCAAGGGUGAAAAUGAAGUGAUGAUGCAAAGUGUGAAGGGUAAAAUGGAGUGGUCUUGUAGCUAGGGAGCAUGAAUGAUUGUGUACAUUGCAUAGAGAUGGAAAGGGAGGUGAAAAUGUGUCAAUAAAUGGGUCAAAGGUGCAGCAACAUGUGGUACACAAGGCAUGGGAUUCCAAAUGUGAAUGAUGGAGCAUCAAUUGGUGCAUGUUAUGGUUGUGAAAGUUGUAUAAAUUUUUGUGGGUGAAGGGAACAAGAGGUAUCAAGCAAUUAAGUGUAAUAAUUAAAUGAAUUGAAACAUGAAAACAGAAAUUAUGUAGGGGACAAGAGUGAUCAAGCAUGGCAUGGGAAUCCAAAGGGAAUUCUAUGUUGUUUUGCAUGGCAAUGAAGGCAAGUUGGGGUGACAAAUUUUUGGGCUGAGUUCUUCAUCUUUUGGACCAUAAUUCUUCACAUUCUUGGCCUCUUUAGUUCUCAAAUUCGUCCAUCCACUUUGGCCCAAAUAUGUGACAUGCAUUCCAAGCUCCAUUUUGCUCCAAAAUGCUCCAAAAUGCAUCUUCUUGCCUACUUUGUCCAUAAAAUCUGAAAACACACGAAAAUGACUUUAAACAUUAAAAUAACUAAGGAAACACGACAUAAAUGCACAAGAACAAGCCAACUAAGUUGCAUAAAUAUGCUCCUAUCAAAUUCCCCCACACUUAGCUUUUGCUAGUCCUCGAGCAAAACAAAGAGAUAAAACGAAACAAAGUAAAUAAAACACAACCUAAACCUUCCAACAUUUGCCUCAGGGAUUUCCAAUGCACAUGACAUGUUAAAAAUCAUUAUCCCCACAGAUUUGAGUCAUCUUCACACUUAAGCACGUACUUAAUCAUAGUCACUACUUACUUGUUCACAAUUAAUCGAUUAAAAUAAUGUUUUUGAUGUAGUAACAUGCCUUAGAGAAAUCACUCAAUUCUUUACAAGAUAUGCACUCAAUUUUCACUCAGAUUUUCUAACUACACACCCUAUACUAGUUAUAUGUGAGAAGAUUGAUGUAGAUAUGAAAACGAACGCUCACAUAUAUGUAUCACAAAGAAAGCAAUUUCUGGAGUUAAUAAGCAUGUUUAGAUAUGAUCUCAUGAAUGGAAUGCUACUACUUAGAUGCGAGAACCAGUGACACCAUAUGCUCAUAUCAAUUUCAAACUCCACAUAUUGAAACGCAUGACACUCAAGAUGAAGUUAAGGGUUGUAACGGGGCUUGGGGUGAUGGCUAACAAAUGAAGGAUAAUGAUAACAAUCGUUCUUAAAGCAAUAGCAAGUAAAGUAAUGAAAUUGAAACUUAGAAUUCACUUAGAUUGCAGAAAUCAGCUUUUAGACACGAAGGGAAAAUUCAAACAAAUAUUUAGGGCCGAAUUCUAUGUUUUUGGACCCUUUCUUCAACAAGCAGCACUUUAAAAACUCUUUUUCGCAUAUUUUUCAAACUUUUUUUUUUUUUUUUUUUUUUUUCAACUCUUCUUUUCUUUUCAACAAACAUAAUAACUCACACUUCCCCCACACUUGUUUUCUGCCAUACAUUAAUCAAAAGAAAUUCAAUUUGAAUCAUGCUUUACUAUGCUUCAAGAACAAGGGUAUGGAUGGUCCUAAACUAGGCUAGGUAAGGAUAAUGUGGUUUAACAAAGAAUGUAGGCUAUCAAGGCUCAAUGGGGUUAACUUAAACAUAUAACGAUAUGGGAUACAUGGCAGUUUUGGCUUUGGUGGUGGUAACUACACAACAACUUCAUCUUGAAUAUGUUUUAUGCAAAUCAAUAGCAUGCUUUGAAUGAAAUAGGCAUGAGUUCUAGCAUUUGGAACUAAAUGAUGAAACGCCUUCUAAGUAAUAACCACGCAAAGAAUAAUGAGAUCAUGCAACGACUUUAGAAAACAAGAAUGCACAGAUUUUCAACUCUCCAAAUAACGUUUAGGCUCAAGUCUCACAAGGUUGUAGCGUUAGUUUGAGUUCUUUCCUUCAAGCAUGUUACAAAAACUAAUUUUUUCUUUUAUGAUUACAUGUGAUUUCAUAAGUUAUAACCACAACCACGCAUAUAAAGAGUAAAUCAAACUUUCAUCCAUGUUUAUAACUCUCUUUAACAGUCAUGCAAUUACAAACUGAAUCCUCAUCAUUGUGUUGGAAGGUACCCUAAGACAACAAAAUAAGCACACAAAAACAACUCUUUUUGGGAUUUUUCAAAAACAAUUUUUCAAAAUUUUUUAUGAAUUUUCGGAUUUUUAUGUCAAAACACACUGAAACACUCCAAAACAGCUUAAAAAUACUUAAAACAACAAGGAACAACACUAGAAGUAAUGGGUGAUAAAUUUCUACGAAUUUCAUACAAAACAAUGGUUACCCCCCCACACUUAAAUCAAACAUUGUCCUCAAUGUUUCAAGCAUAUACUCACACACCAAAAAACAAGCAAAUAACAAACGACAAAUAAAAAAACAUGACAAAUAUGGCAAAGUAAAAACCAGACAGAGUAGAGUUUAAGAACGCAAAUCUGGUUUUGGAGAUAGUUGAUCUUGUUGACUUUCCACAGCUUUGAUCUUGAACUGGUUUGGAAUUCUGAGCGGGGAAUAUCAGAGUGCAGUCUGCAUUCUUCUCUGCUUGUUUCUUCUGCACGACGGGCGAGCACGAGGUAAAGGUGUUGGUCUGUUUCUUUCUUCAAUCUUUCCAAGUGCCCACCUCUUGCUCUCUUUCUCCUUGUCCUUAGUUGAGGAUGAAUCAGCACGUUAUCUCCACAUGCUUCGAGGUAUCAUCUUCACUUCCCUUAUAAGUGAGAAACAAAGCGAAAGCAUAAGAUGAUGAGUACUCGAGAGCAAGAGCUGGCUGGAGAAAGCAUGAUAUGAGAUACUCUUGCUCUCAACCCUUAUGAUAUGAAAUACUUGUGCUCUGGAUGGGUUGUUUGCAGGGGUAUCCCAGGGGAUGAAAAAUACAGAGUGACUCGAGAGGGUUUGUUGGAAAGCCAUUUCAGAGAGGAUGAAGGGUUAAGUGAGGCUGAAAGUUGGGUGAGACUGCUUCACUUUGAAGUUCAACAUUUAUAGAAUUUUCUUAAUGGCUGGGAAGGCAUUGUUGCAUUACUCGUGUCGGCAAGCCUGGGGUAAUUUAACAGUAGUUUUCACGUGCAUUCCGCUUCUCCAAAAAUUUUCGACAGAUUGCGCGUGAUUUACGCAACGCAGAUGUGCAAAUUGACAGAUGAUGACACGUCUCGAUAAAGCAGAGGCCUCUUUAAUAUCCGGAAUUUACGCUUCGAGUUCUGAGCUUUGUUGAGGGCAGAGAUUGCAUGUGACAAGUGCUGACGAGGCUGAGAGAGACAUAUGGUUGGAAUCGAUGCUUCGACAGACUGCCCGUGAUUUUCGCAAAGCUGAGUUGCGUGUGAUGGAUGCUGAUGAGGCUGAGACAGUUGACACUCUUCGGUAUCUGGAAUUGGUGGUUUGUGAGCAAGCCCAACUUUUGAGAAAGCUGGCGCCUCUUCGAUCUCUGAAUGGCUUCUUCAAUUUCUGAGCUCACCUCUUCAAUCUCUGAAAUCCCAUCGCGUGCUGAUUUUUAUAGAGGUAUGCAGGACGUUCAAAGCACUCUUGAAUUUCUGUCUGUAAAAACUCCCGUUUUGCACUUUUACUAUCUUGACUUGUCCGAUCUCCUCUUUCUUUAACACCUCUGAAAAAUGUCUGGCCCUUCCGACCAUCGUUUUGACUUGAACCUUGGUGAAGAAGCAGCCCCUCCUUCUCCAGACAACAUAUGGCGUCCGUCCUUCACAUCCCCUACUGGUCCUCUCACCGUUGGGGAUUCGGUGAUGAAAAAUGACAUGACCGCUGCGGUGGUGGCCCGGAACCUUGUCACCCCCAGAGAUAACAGAUUGCUCGCUAGACGGUCUGAUGAAUUGGCGGUUAAGGAGUCUCUGGCUCUUAGCGUGCAGUGUGCGGGUUCUGUGUCCAACAUGGCCCAACGCCUAUUUGCUCGAACCCGUCACGUUGAAUCGUUGGUGGCUGAAAUACAGAGUCUUAAAGAGGAGAUUAGAGGACUCAAGCAUGAAAAUAAACAAUUGCACAAGCUUGCACACAAUUAUGCCACAAACAUGAAAAGGAAAAUUGACCAGCUGCAGGAAACUGAUGGUCAGAUUUUACUUGAUCACCGGAGGUUUGUGGGUUUGUUCCAACAGCAUCUGCCUUCGUCUUCUGGGGCGGCACCGCGUAGUGAAGCUCCAACUGAUCAACCUCCGAUACCUCCUCCUUCCGUGGCCCCACCGAUUGCUGAGACUCCGCCGACUACUGCAACCUCUCCCAAGCAGCCUUUGUGAAGGCUCCCUCUUGUAUUAGGCUAUGUUUCUUUAUUUCCCAGUUUCCUGUUCAUUUCCAUGUAAUUUAAUGUUAAAUUCCUUUGCAUAUUUGUUAAUGUUUCAAAAUAGAAAAUCACAACAAAAAAUAAUUAAACAAGUAAUAAAAUUGACAAUCAAGCAGAAUAAAUGGGUUGCCUCCCUUAAAGCACUUGCUUUAACGUCUUCCAGCCGGACGAUGAACACCUUCACUUCUCCUUGGAACCCACGGCAUGCAGUGGGAUCUCCUCCACAACAUGCUCCACAAAGUGCUCGUAGUAUGGCUUCAAGCGAUGUCCAUUCACCUUGAAUUCUUGCCCGGUUCUCAAGCUUUUAAUUUGGACUGCACCAUGCACAAAAAGAUUAGUAACAACAAACGGGCCAACCCACUUGGAACGUAACUUACCAGGGAAUAGACGAAGGCGGGAGUUGAACAACAACACUUUCUGCCCAAUUUCGAAAGUCUUGCCUCGAAGCAUCUUAUCAUGGAAUGCCGUGGUCUUCUCUUUGUAAAUUCUAGCAUUCUCAUAAGCUUCAUGGCUUAUCUCAUCAAGUUCACUCAAUUGAAGCUUUCGAUGAAUUCCGGCUUGGUCCACAUUCAAAUUGAAGGUCUUGAUGGCCCAAUGUGCUCUAUGUUCUAAUUCCACGGGAAGAUGACAUGGCUUGCCAUACAUAAGCCGAAAAGGAGACAUACCAAUAGGGGUUUUGUAAGCCGUUCGAUACGCCCAUAAUGCAUCAUCCAACCGUAAGCUCCAAUCUUUUCUAUUUGGCCCAACGGUCUUCUCCAAAAUCUGUUUGAUCUCACGAUUCGACACCUCGGGUUGGCCAUUGGUUUCGGGGUGGUAAGGUGUGGAGACCUUAUGCGUCACAUGGUACUUCUUGAGUAAUGCCUCAAUGGUACGGUUGCAAAAAUGAGACCCGCCAUCACUGAUUAGCACCCUAGGCAUCCCAAACCUAGAAAAGAUAUUAGUUUUCACAAAAUCUGCCACAACUUUAGAAUCGUUAGUUCGAGUGGCUUUCGCUUCCACCCACUUGGAAACAUAAUCAACGGCAAGUAAUAUGUAAGUGAAACCAAAAGAUGAAGGAAAAGGACCCAUAAAAUCGAUACCCCAAACAUCAAAGAUUUCAACAACAAAGAUGGGUACCUGCGGCAUUUGAUCUUUUUGGCCAAUAUUACCUGUCCUUUGGCAUCGAUCACAUGUUAAACAAAAGGUUCUAGCAUCUUUAAACAAAGUAGGCCAAUAAAUACCACAUUCAAGAACCUUAAAAGCUGUCCUUUGGGUGCCAAAGUGACCCCCACAUGCAUAUGUGUGACAAAAACUUAAAAUUGAGUGAAAAUCUGAUUCAUGCACACAUCUUCUUAUAAUCUGAUCUGAACAAUAUUUCCACAAGUAUGGGUCAUCCCAAACAUAAAAUCUAGCAUCCUUUUUAAGUUUAUCACGUUGGAAUUUGUUUAGGGUGCUAGGAACUUGUUUAGUCACCAAAUAAUUCACCAAAUCUGCGUACCAAGGAGCACUUACCUGAACGGACAAGAGUUGUUCAUCCGGAAAUGUUUCGGAGAUGGGAAGAUCCUCUUCUUCACGCACCAACCUGCUUAGGUGGUCGGCAACAACAUUAUCACUCCCCUUCUUGUCCUUGAUUUCGAUGUCAAACUCUUGAAGUAGAAGCAUCCAACGAAUGAGUCUAGGUUUAGCUUCUUUCUUGGUGAACAAGUACUUCAAGGCUGCAUGGUCAGUGAAAACAAUAACUUUAGUACCAAUUAGAUAUGAUCUAAAUUUAUCUAAAGCAAAUACAACCGCCAAGAGUUCUUUUUCGGUUGUAGAAUAAUUCAACUGAGCAUCAUUCAAAGUGCGUGAAGCAUAAUAAAUAACAUGUGGCUGUUUAUUCUUUCUUUGACCCAAAACAGCUCCAAGUGCAUAAUCCGAUGCAUCACACAUCAAUUCAAAGGGAAUGGACCAAUCCGGGGGAGUUAUGAUGGGUGCCGUGGUGAGGAGGUCCUUAAGAUGCUUGAAUGCUUGCUCACACGCCUCGUUGAACUCGAAAGGCACUUCCUUUUGUAGGAGACGGCAUAGGGGUUGUGCAAUCUUGGAAAAAUCCUUGAUAAAUCGUCUAUAGAAUCCUGCAUGACCAAGGAAAGAACGAACCUCUCUCACCGAAGUGGGAGAGGGUAAGUAGCGUACAAGAUCUAUUUUAGACUUAUCAACUUCAAUUCCACGUUCAGAGAUAAUAUGACCCAAAACAAUACCUUGUUUAACCAUAAAAUGGCAUUUCUCCCAAUUUAACACAAGGUUUGUUUCAACACAACGUUUCAAGAUUAAAGUGAGAUUAUCCAAGCAAUUAUCAAAGGAAUUACCAAACACACUAAAAUCAUCCAUGAAUAUCUCAAUAAUCCUCUCAACAUAAUCAGAAAAGAUGCUAACCAUACACCUUUGAACAUGGCAGGAGCAUUGCACAAACCGAAUGGCAUGCGUCGAUAUGCAAACGUUCCAAAGGGACAAGUAAAAGUGGUCUUUUCUUGAUCAUCCAGGGCAAUAACAAUUUGAUUAUAACCGGAGUAUCCAUCAAGAAAGCAAUAAAAGGAAUGACCGGCUAACCUUUCUAGCAUUUGAUCUAGGAAUGGCAAUGGGAAGUGAUCUUUUCUUGUGGUUGCAUUUAGCUUCCUAUAAUCAAUCCACACUCGCCAACCGGUUUGAAUUCGAGUGGGCACAAGCUCAUUCUCCGCAUUCUCCACAACCGUCACUCCAGAUUUCUUGGGUACACAUUGGAUAGGUGAAACCCAACGGCUAUCGAAGAUGGGAUAAAUCACCCCACAAUCUAGAAGUUUGAUUAUCUCAUUUUUCACCACUUCCAUCAUCGGAGGGUUAAGACGGCGUUGAGCCUCUCUAGUUGGUUUGGCCCCCUCCUCAAGAAAUAUGUGAUGCAUACAAGUCGUAGGGCUUAUACCUUUAAUAUCGGCCAAUGUCCAACCUAGGGCAGAUUUGAAUUCCUUCAAGACACGCACUAGCUUCUCCUCCUCUUGUGCCGUGAGGGAUGAGGAGAUGAUGGCAGGUAGUGUCUCGUUUUCCCCCAAAAAGAUGUACUUCAAAUGACUUGGUAGGGGUUUGAGAUCAAGUAUGGGUGCCUGAACGAUGGAUGGAAGCAACUUGUUAGUCGAAUUGGAAUGGAAUUAAAGUUAGGAGACUUACCACCAUGCUUAGGUAGUGACUCAAGGGCAGCAACCAACUCAAAAAUUUCAUCACUAGGAGGCAUGACAUGGCCUAGUCCAUGUAUGUCGUGGGUUACACUAGAAUCUGCCCCCUUGGUUGUGAGUUCCAUUCCUCGUGUAAUGACUUUUUCAAGCGCAUCGUCAUUCAAAUCUUCAAGAUAUCCUUGCGCCAAAGAGUCAAUUAUAUCAAUAGAGAAACAUGAAUGGUCCUCACUAGGGUACUUAAUGGAAUCAGAAAGAUUAAAAUUAACAACUUCCCUAUCAAAUUCCAUGGACAACGUUCCACUAUACAUGUCAAUCUUCGUCUGGGCCGUCUUCAUGAAUGGCCUUCCAAGGAGGAUGGGCAAUGAAGACGCAUGAUCCGAUUCAUCCAUUUCGAGCACAUAAAAAUCUGCUGGGAAGACUAAAUGAUCAACCUGCACCAAAACGUCUUCCAACACUCUUUUUGGAUAAGCGUUAGAUCUAUCGGCCAAUUGUAUGAUUACACCAUCAUGUUUCAACUCACCUAAGUUCAUAGAUACAUAAAUGGAGUAUGGCAUAACAUUUAUAGAGGCUCCUAAAUCUAGCAUGGCAGAUUUGAAACGAGUGUUACCAAUGACGCACGGAAUUGUAAAGCUACCCGGAUCUUUGCAUUUGGGGGGUAGUUUGCGUUGCAAGAUGGCGGAGACAUUCUCACCUACCUUUACCACUUCCUUAGUCGCCAUCCUCUUCCUAGUGGUGCACAACUCCUUCAAAAACUUGGCGUACCUCGGGACUUGCUUGAUUGCAUCCAACAAAGGUAUGUUUACUUGAACUUUCCUAAAUGUCUCAAGGAUGUCCUUUUCAACUUCCUCCUUCUUUGUUUGCAUAAACCUACUAGGAAAAGGAGCAUUCGAAGGAAAAACAUUAGUAGGAACCGAAUUUGACACAUUCUUACCUUUAUUGGCCAAUUUGGACAGAUUUGGGACAUUAGAAACUUGCGGCAAAGGUGCUCCCACCUUUGCCGUGAGUGGGCUUGCUUCCUCCUCUUCAAAUUGAAGUUUUUCAUCCUCUUUGUGACCUGUUUUUGAUGAAGAACCUGCCCCGAUCUCUUUUCCACUUCUCAAGAGUAUGGCCUUUGCACUUUCAAAGCCUCCCUUCGGGUUUGGAAUGGUAGAACUAGGAAGCCUUCCUUGGUCUCUAAUCUGCCCAACAACCUCGACAAUCUGCCCCAUUUGUUUUUCUAGUUGGUCCACUCUUUUGUUUUGAUUUUCCUGCCCAUUAGUCAAAGUGGUUAGUAACUUAACAAGUGUAUCAUUAUCCAAAGCAUUACCUGAAUUAUUUGGGGCAGAUUGUGGUUGGACUUGAGGGGGUGCGUAUGGUUUGUUGUAGAAGCCCGGGGGUUGUUGCCUAAAGCCUCCUUGUGGUUGGGCUUGUUGUGGCUCUCUCCAUUUGAAGUUUGGAUGGUCUCUCCACCCCGGAUUAUACGUGUUGGAAUAUGGAUCAUGUCUUGGCUGAUUUUGGCUUUGAAACCCAAUGGCAUUAGCGCUCUCCCAUCCACCAUUCUCAAUGAGUUGAGGACACUUUUCGGAUGCAUGUCCUUGGGUAGAACAUACGCCACACACCAUGGGUCCCUGAAUCUUCAUUCCCUCGGCCAUCUGUGAAACAAGAGAAGUAAGAUUAGCUAACUGAGAUUGAAUAUUGGAAGUGGAACUUACCUCAUGCACUUGUUGCCGUGGGGGUCCUCUUUGGCCUACACCUUCGUAUUGUUGAGCGUUCAAUGCUCGAUUAGCAAUCAAGAUUUUUGCAGCCAUGGGCGUUUUGUCUACCAAUGCUCCACCCGCCGAGGCAUCGAGCAUUUGACGUUCUAGUGGUAGGAGCCCUUCGUAGAAAUAUUGCAAAAGCAAUUCCUCCUUCAUCUGAUGUUGUGGACAAGAAGCAACAAGUGAUUUAAAUCGUUCAUAAUAUGUAGGAAAAGACUCACCUUCAUCUUGUUGAAUUCCACUUAUUUUUUUACAAAGAAGAAUGAUGCGAGAAGUUGGGAAAAACUUCUCCAGAAACGCCCUCUUCAUACUCUCCCAAGAUGUAACUGUACCGGGAGCCAACUCGUAUAACCAAUCCUUGGCUUUGUCCAUUAAAGAGAAUGGAAAAGCCUUCAUCUUUAAAAUACUUCCGUCAACGGUAAACGGAGUCAUACUUGAGCACACCACUUCAAAUUCUUUCAAAUUUUUGUUCGGAUCCUCCAUGGACAGCCCAUGGAACUUUGGAAUGUGGUGGAGCAAACUUGACUUUAACUCGAACUCUUCAGUUUUACCUUGAGCAGCCAUGGGAUAUUGGAUACACAAUGGUGCGGCAUUAUCCAAACCCGAGGCGGCAAGCUCCUUGAGCGUACGGUUGUCCAUGGCUAUACCUUGCUCUUCUCCACCCACUUGUGCCGUGGGCUUCUCUUCAACCUCAACUUCUUGUUCUUCUAAUUCAGGCUCGGGACUAGGAGGAUUAGACUCUUGCAAUUUCUUUUUCCUUCUCAAAGUCCUCUCAAAAUCACCGUCAAAGUCGGAGAUAUGCUCACGAACAGGUCGGGAACUUCGAGUCAUGCACUAGUACCUAAAAACAAAGAAAACAAAACAAAUCAGCAACUUAAACAGAAACUUAAACAAAAUACAAUAAUUCGAAAGAAAACAAUCCAAGAGAUUAGCAAAGUUGCUAAUCCCCGGCAACGGCGCCAAAAAUUUGAUGCGAAAUAUAUAAGCACACAAAUUAAACCCUCUUUUUAUCAAUUGUAGUAAAGUAUGUAAGUAUGGAUCGUUCUAGGCCGGGAUUAGGAGGGAUUGCUAAAUCACUUGGAAACUGACUUGAAAACGUAAAAACAAAGUUUAAAACACUAACUAGACUCAAAGAAUGCAAAACUAUACUUUAAAACACUAAAACAAACCAAAAGACUCAAAACAGCCCCUAAACACUCAAAACUACCUUAAACACACAAUCUGGGCAGUUUUGGGACUCUAACACAAACUUGGACGAAUUUUGGUUUUCUAAUGAACUAAAACACUUAAAAACAUAAUCUAAGACAAGUUCUAAUUAAUAUGACUCAAAGAAAUAAUAUGGGGUUGAUUUUGGACGAAAAUUAUUAAAUUAAGACAAGAACAAAGUAAACAAAUUCUUACACAAAUUUAAGUGAAUCAAAACAGAUUGUAAAAUGAAUUUGAAUGAAACUUAUGGAUGGAAGGCUAGCUAGGAGGUUCUUCUCCACACAUGUCACACUUGCAUACAAAACGAUUUCCAGUUGCUUUUCGAUAAGCUAUGAAUACUCAACGCCCCAAAUUAACCGUGAAUUGCACUAAUUAACCCUCAGUUUUUUCCACAAGUUAUUGGGUUGGAUGAUUGCAUACGACAACCCAAAACAUUCCCUACAAGUUCCCUACAUGAAUUGCAUAAUAGAGAUACAAGCAAGAAUCAUUAAGUUCUAUGAAAAACAUAAGCAUUGGCGAAGCACUCGUUACUAUGAUUUGCAUGAAACUUAUGCCAAGAAUUUACUUAACGUGAUUGUGACAAGCAACCUUCAUUACUUGUGAAUAUAAGUUCAUAACGAUUAGGUGAAACUCCCUUAUAUUCUAGCGUUAAAUUCAUGCAUGAAAAUUAAGCGUGCACUCUCAACCAACAUACACAAAUCAUUUUUUAUACGAUCGGAUAAGUAAAUUGAAUUCACAACUUAUGAAUCACAACUGGAUGUAAUCAAAUCAUAUUGCAAGUAUGAACAUGGUUUCGAAUCACCCCCUAACUAAGAGGGGUUUAGUUCCUCAUACUCACAAAGCAAAGAUACAUAAAAAUUAGACAUUAAAAUCAAAGGAAAGAAAACACCUAAAAUGCUCCAACUUGGGUAGCAAGUGCAUCCAAGAAUUCUCCUUUGCUUGCUUGCGGCAGAUUGCUUUGUGGACGGGUUUUUGGGUAGUUUUAUGAUGUAGAAUGGAUGGGGAAUGGUAUGGAAAGGUUUAGGGUAAGUGUGGGUGGAGUGUUUGAGGGUUGGAGGGUGGUGGAGAACUAGGCAAAGAGGGUGGAAGAAGGUGGAGUGGCUGUUAUGUUUUCUAGGCACUAGAAUGGUGUUUUUGGGGUGUUUUGCUACCUAGGGUGAGUAUGGACGAAUUUCUGUGAUGAAUGGUGAAUAUGAGAGUGUGAACCCUUUGCCAAGGGGUGUAAACAUGUAUAUAUAGGCCCCAAAAACCUUAGAGAAUCAGGUUAGGCUAGGGAGAAUGCAAGGCAAAGAGUGUAUGUGGUGUGCAAUGGUCCAAGGGUGAAAAUGAAGUGAUGAUGCAAAGUGUGAAGGGUAAAAUGGAGUGGUCUUGUAGCUAGGGAGCAUGAAUGAUUGUGUACAUUGCAUAGAGAUGGAAAGGGAGGUGAAAAUGUGUCAAUAAAUGGGUCAAAGGUGCAGCAACAUGUGGUACACAAGGCAUGGGAUUCCAAAUGUGAAUGAUGGAGCAUCAAUUGGUGCAUGUUAUGGUUGUGAAAGUUGUAUAAAAUUUUGUGGGUGAAGGGAACAAGAGGUAUCAAGCAAUUAAGUGUAAUAAUUAAAUGAAUAGAAGCAUGAAAUCAGAAAUUAUGUAGGGGACAAGAGUGAUCAAGCAUGGCAUGGGAAUCCAAAGGGAAUUCUAUGUUGUUUUGCAUGGCAAUGAAGGCAAGUUGGGGUGACAAAUUUUUGGGCUGAGUUCUUCAUCUUUUGGACCAUAAUUCUUCACAUUCUUGGCCUCUUUAGUUCUCAAAUUCGUCCAUCCACUUUGGCCCAAAUAUGUGACAUGCAUUCCAAGCUUCAUUUUGCUCCAAAAUGCAUCUUCUUGCCUACUUUGUCCAUAAAAUCUGAAAACACAUGAAAAUGACUUUAAACAUUAAAAUAACUAAGGAAACACGACAUAAAUGCACAAGAACAAGCCAACUAAGUCGCAUAAAUAUGCUCCUAUCAACGGCGACAAAUGUUGAUGCACAAAACCGAAGGUCUUGGAACAACGUAAAUCCGACCGUGAAUCUGCAAGAAAUGUAAAGAACACAAGAUGUAUCGUGGUUCACCCCAAUGUUUGGGCUAUGUCCACACUGAUAUUGUAUUUCUCUGUUUGUGAGAGGAUUGAGAGGGUGAGAGCUUUGCUUUGAAUAUAAGAGGGGAUGUGAGGCUUUGGGGAUCACAUGCCUAGGAAUUGGCCUCCCCUAAUGAGGAGAGUGAGGAGUUCUUUUAUAGAAUAAGGGCUCCUCACUUAUUACAUAUUUGCCCCUUCCUUUAUUACAUAAUUACAUUUGAGUCCCCCGAGUAUUUAUACGAGGUCUAAAUAUGGAGGCCCUAAGUAUGGUACAAACAAAGUUGUUCAAAGCAAAUGGAACUCCAUGUAAAGCUAUUGAACAUAUCCAUAUUCGCCAUGAGGUCGAGGUAGUCUAGAUUCAUAGCAACAUUGUUCUUCGCCCUUAUCAAUAUAGCCUCAACAAAGUAUUUUAGACCUAGCUUGAAGGCAUUGUCCAUGUUUUUGCACUCCUUAAAAACCCUUUCAAGCUUACCGCAAGUCCUGGAUAUUUUUGGUGACUUUUCUGGGGACGGCCUUGGCUUUACCUUUCCCUUUUUCUUUCAUCCCCUUACUACUUUCUCCUACCAACCCUAAUUUCCUGGGAAAAUACUCCCUGAGCAGUCUAAUCCUUUGUGGCUCAACCUUUAUGUCAUAAGGCAGAAGUCCCCGUUUUAUGAACUAGGUCAAUUCACAAACUAUUAAAUAGGUCAGCCCCUCUAGGUUUGUAACCUCUUGAUUUGCCACUCUACAGAGCGACAACUCAUGGAUCAACUGCCCACUGAAGGCCAAUACAUCCACACCUAGAAGGUGGCCAAAGCAGGAUGUCCUAAAGGCACCAAGUUGUGCCUCAUUAAACUUCUCCCUAAUCAAUCCUAACAUGCAUAAUUAAUCUUACACCUAACUUAAUUUAUACUACUUAACAGAAAUAACAAAUUAAAUUCUAGGGUUCAAUUUUCAAAACUCACCAGAUUUGAAAUUCACCAGGGGAAUUAAAUAUGAGGUCAGUUAUCGUAGAAGCACUCUGAACCCAACUCCAAUGAAGUGAAAAACAUGUCCUUUUUGUGGAAUCAACUGCACAGCUUUCAACCAAACUCCCCUAAUUUUCUUCUAUGCUGUAUGGAAUUUUUGUGAGGCCAGAGAACACAUGCACAGACCAACUGUACCUGAGUUUGGAACGGGAAACAAGUUUUCGAAUUGGAAGGAUGUUUUUCGACGACAACAAUAUUUGAGGAAGAGGGAGUGUCUUUGGAGGAGGACAAGACUUACUAAAGGCGAUAAGUGUUGAUGUUGGGGGGAUAGUUUAAAUCCUAAGAAAUUUUGAAUUCAUGCCAGUUACCAUUUUAAUUAAGUGACGGGUCAUCUAUGACCCAGUUUCACCCUAAGAUCAUUAUGAUAGAUUCGUUUUCAGCCGGUCAAAUUUUUAUGCAACGGCCUAGUGGUUCUUUCUCUCACGUAAUUUUGCCCUCCCGUUCCACUCUAUAUGAUACUAAUAUUUCUAUCAAGCAUAAGUUCUAUUACAAGUCAUCGAUGUAUUUCCAAAUUUUUUUGUGAUUCAGUUAUAACGAUUAGUCCUUGAAUUUAGAAAGAAUAUUAGAAUAAAACAAGAGCCCUCUUCAAUUUAAUAGUGGUUAGAUUUCGAGACGAAAAAAAACUCCCGUUCUAUCAAAAUAUCAAAUAUCUACCAAAAAAAUUCCCGUACGCACUCAUAAUCCUCAAAGUACGGCCCGCACCUUAGAAAUCGCAUUGUAAUGAUCACGUAUUUGUUGUUUAGGGGCUGAGCAUGGCUCUAAGGCCUGCUGUGAAUACCCAUUAAAACCCAAAUUCUUAGGUGGGCUUUAGAUUAUGACGUGGCAAAGUGUGGGAAGCCGAAAAAGCCUCUACGAUCGAUUUGUCCAAAACAGAUAAAGAAGACACAAAACUCAAAAAUAAAGAAAGAAAAGAGAAGCCUGGCAAGUAUUCCUUCUGCUACAAUCUCUCCCUCCCUCUCUCUCCCUCCCUCUCUCUCUCUCCAGUCGGUCUCUCUUGUCUCUCUCGCUAAUUGGUGAGUCGAGUAAGCUAAUACUCUCUCUCUCUCUUGAUAGUAUAGUUGUUUUAUGCAUAGGCUGGAUUUUGCUUUUCCUUCUCGUUAGGGUUUGUUCAAUUUCGCGGAAAUCAUCCAUACUUAGCAGAAACUGAAUGAAAAAAAAGCAAAGAAAUUUAGUAAGGAAGUGACAACCCAUGUAGCUAAGCGUGUGCUGAACAAGGACUUGGAACACUGCCUCUUUGCCUGGUCUCUUCCAAUUUGCCUCUUCUUUUAUUUACCACAUAUCUCUUUUGUUUUAAUUGUUUCCCUUGUAUAUUUUUGCAUAAUCUAUCUGGGUUUUUGAUCGUUGUUCCGAUUUCGACUGGAAUUUCGAUGAAGUUGGCAUGUUUUAUGGUCGAUUCGGGUUUAAAUAGUUAUGUUAAUUCAUGGGUUUUUUUGCGCUUGGAAGAGCAUUGAACUGUUUGUGCUUCCGUUGUUUUUGCAGUUAAAUGCUUUGGAGUGGAGUCUGAUAGUUGCAGCUCCAUUAUAUCUUCGUAAAAGGGUACGUGCUACUUGUAUAAGUUUUCACGUUAUGGCAUCUUCUCAUGGCAAUACAAACUCUGAAGCAGCAAAAGUAAUGGAACAAAUAAUCACUGAAUUCUAUGCCAAAAGUCUCCACAUAAUCCUUGAAUCCAGGACUCCAUAUAUGUCCUCGCGUAAUUUUAGUGGUGAACGAACCCUAUCAUCGCCGUCCUCAUCCUCAUCAUCCUCAUCGAGUGUGAGGCCGAGGGAUAAGUGGUUUAAUCUAGCUCUUAAGGAAUGCCCUGCUGCACUGGAGAAUCUUGAUCUCUUCUGCAGCCAGGGCCAUUUUGAACCUGUGGUGGUUGAUGUGAUUAUGGUUCAGAGACCACUUGAUUGUGACCUGGUGAAGUGUUCACCUAAAAGGGAUCUUACUAGGAACUCGUCAUUGAAAGAGCGUUAUCCAUACUGUUGGAAUUAUGAGCAGGACGAAUUUGGGUGUGAUGCAAAGAGUGAAAAGAUUAUUGAGAGAUGGGUUGUGCAGUAUGAGAAUCGGAAGAUCAGAGACACAAAUUCAGGAAGCAGGAGGUCGAGCAAUAAUAAUUUGUCUACAUUGUAUAAGAAAUCAAUGUUACUUUUGAGAUCUUUGUAUGUCACUGUUAGGCUAUUACCUGCGUACAAAGUUUAUCGCGACCUCAUUUCAUCUGGACAAAUUUGGCCAUUUGCUAUCACUCACCGGGUAUCCUCUUUUGCUGAGAACUUCACUUGUAGAGAAGAAGCAGAAAUGCAGCGGUUCGGGUUCACCCCUGUGGAUACAGCUGGUGGCAGGCUUUGUCUUUCUGUAUUGUAUUGUUUAUCACUUUCAGAUGUAAGCUCUGAACCAUCAACUCCUAUGUCUUCACAACUUAUUCCGGACUAUGUUGGCAGCCCAUUGACAGACCCUCUUAAAAGGUUCCCAUCACUUCCUGUUACAGGAACAGUAGCACAUGCCCAUCCAUCAUCGUCCCCAUUCUCAAGGCGGCAUAGUUGGAGUUUUGACCAUUAUAGAGCUUCACCACCUUCAGUUUCUUUCUCACCUUCACCUACAUAUUCAGAACCACAUACUUUGAUUUCUAAUCCAGGUACUCGUCGUUUUCAACCAAAAACCUUGCCACCUCAUCCGCCUGAAACAUCUCAUGUUCAUAAAAAGGAUUCAACCUUUGAUGAGUAUUGUCCUUCACCUGCCGUUUCUCCCUCACAAUCCUCAGCUGCACCGUCAUUGCCAAUCUUUAUUCCUGGGAGUCAUCCUUCAAAGCCUCUUUUACAAUCUGAGAGUGCACCAGUUAGCGAACCGGCGGCUAAACUUGCUAAUUUCCCUGCAUAUUCCAACAAGCUAAAUUUUCCUGUAAGAGGAACUGGAUCUGGAAGUUUUAAGAGUUGUAAAACUACAGGUUUUAGUCAGCCUGGUACUGCGGUUGAGAAGGUAUUGUAGAUGCUUAUAACUGUGAAAGUUUCAUUAGAAAUUUGUUGUCUUUAUUUAAUGUUUGUUAUUUUAAUGCAGUUGUUUUCUUUUGGGAAAGAUGAAGCUAGACAAUAUUCUGGGGUGAAAUCCAGCAGCUCCAGUAGGUCUUUUCCUGAUGAUUUUGAUGAUACUGAGUUUCCUUGCCCAUUUGAUGUGGAUGAUGAUGAUGUGACAGAUCCAGGCAGCAGGUAAUUUCUGCUAGUAUUUUACACAUGAUGUUCCACAUGCUGUCCUUUUUGUUAGUUUCUCUAUGCAAUGCGCAGUUAGUUUUGAUUCUUUGGAAAUAACUUGCAAGUCAAACGGUUAAUAAUUAUCUACAAUUGUAACGGGGCAAGGAGGGGUAGCUGCACUGUCAACAUAGUACAGGCAUUCAUCAUUGAAUAACCAAGUGAUGUGAGAUUGAUUAGUCAGAAAUUAGAAGGAAGCAUUCUAUAAGAUAAAUUAUUUCUUUUCUAUAGGUUAGUUGGUUAACAGCUUAAUAUACGAGUAACUCACAUUCAUACAGUGUUGUAAUGUGUUGCACCAUGCUUGGUACAUGAAGGGCCGCCCAUUUUAGUUGAAGCCCAUGAAAUGAUUUGGGACAUAUGGGCAAUACAUAAGUAUACUUGCUAAAGGGACUCACGUUAGUUGUCGUGCUUUACACUUCUUUGCUCCUUUUUAUUCAGAGAAACGUAAUAUUGCCUGAUGCAGUAGAUGCAUGCUAAGGAGUACAAUCAUCUUUUGAAUAGUCAUCUCUUAAUAAAUAUAUGUAAAAUUGUAGCUACAAAAAGUCGAUCUCAAGCAUCAAAGUCCUCAUGCACAUUAAACCAUUUAUUUGUUAAAAUAAGGUCUUUAGUUUAUGGGUGAGCUAUUAUGUUCUCUGCAUCUGGUCAUAGAGUUCAAUGUCGAGCAUUCUUUUAGAUUCUCUUGAUUUGUUUAUGAAAUGCAUAUGGCCCUUUCAAAUGUAUAGAUUUGGUUUUGCUAAUGGGAUGUGAUCUUAUCUUUUUGCCUCAGACCUGAAUCUUUUGACAAACAUGUACCCCUAUGUGAGCCACAUGAGUUUGAAGGGUUGUUUACAAUUAAAAAAUCCCAAGAUGCUGCUGUUGGGGCGCUUGUACAGAUGUUAAGGAAAGCUCCACCUCUCCGGCAGGAUCACUCGAAUUCAGUAAAUUUGUCACAGGCAGGCAGGCCUGAAAUCUGGAGCAACUGUAGCCAAGAGCCUAAUCGGUCUUCUGAGGGACAGGCAUCAGUUCAGCGUGCUGGUUCGUCAAGCAUCGUUUCAUCUGGGCUCAUAUCAUCAAAAACUACUGCCGAUGCAUUACGAGAGCUCCAGGGUUACAGGGACAUGAAAAACUCGUUAAUCGGGAAAGGCAGUAAGCCUCACAUCUAGUCCAAAUAUGUUUGCAGCCAUUUUGAAUAUAUUUACAGCACUUUGGUUUUCACUUUUCUUGGUUUCAUUUUGAAUGGCUGAAAAUUUUAUUUUGUGGCGUCCACUUCCAUAUGUACAUAUAUUUGAGAAAAUUUGAUUAUAUAAGUUUAACGACGAUGUAUAUAAUUAAGUUACAGGUUUCCUUACUAACUUCUAUGUCCAUAAUGCUUACGCAUCCUUUACUAUCGUAGUUUUGUAAUAAUUCUAAUUGGCUUGUUGGCUCGAAAGUGAUGCUUUUAUUUUGCUACGGUAUACUUGUGUUUUUCAGAUUGGUGUAGGCAUCGAGGAUCCAUUUGAUCGAAGAUCCGCUCAAUAUACUAUGGUUUGAAAAACCACCAAGAAUGUUCAAAUCUUGAAAUUGUUUUUACAGUUUUGUUCUUGGUGUUCAUAAUGUAUUUGUUGUGUUCUUCAUUUAAUUUUGAUUUGGGUGUUAAUCUUUGUUUAAGUUUUAAUGUUUCCCUAGAAUCACACCAUCCUAGGCAAACUAGGAAACCGCACUAACAAAAGAACAAAAGUUGACAAAAGGAGAUGAGGACGUCCUUUUUGUAUAAACAUCAAUGUUUGGUUUUCUCUUCCCUCUCCCCACACCUAUAGCCGGCUUUACCCAAGAGCCCAAUGUGGGAUCUUUUGCAAUUUUAAAAAAGUUGCUCAAGUUUGUUGUGUUUGUGGUUUGACCCAAAACUUUUCAAUAUUUGCAAUUUAACCCUACCUCACUAGAAGACAAUAUUUUGAUUACAAUUAGACCCAUAUGUACUAAAUCCAAUUGUUUAUGUUGCAUUCCAAUUCAAUUAUUUUAUAUGAUUAAGUAGUUAGUAGAUUGUUGACUAUUAACUUGUGUCUUACAAUGAUAACUAAUCUAUGAGAUUGAACACUAAUUUAGAGAGUUUGAACCAUGAAAAUGUGUUUUAAUUAUCAAUUCAAUUGGACCACAAUACGUUAGACAUUAAUUCAAAGAGUUUUGAAUCAUGGGAAUGUCUUUCAUUCAAGUUAUUGACAUGAAUAUGUUAAAUAAGUUCAAGUAAUCGUCAUUAGCAAUAAAGAAAAAGUAAAUUUUAUUAAGAAACUUAAGGGAGUGUAGUCCAUGGAAUUAAAAAAAAUGCAAAAAUAAAAUACAAUUUGUGAACACGGAAAAUUCCUGAAACGAAAGAGACAAGAACAACGUGCAUAAACAAAUAUUUGUAUUUGAUGAUUUUGGGUUACAAUCUCUCUCUAAUUUGAUCCUCUGAUUUCGAUCUCCGUAAGGUGUGUUGAUUUGUGGAUAAUUUCGUUAAUCCAAGGUUUGAUCGCCGUGCGAGGUCUUGGAUGAACUGUUGGAAGUUUCUUCAAAGGGGCCGUGGGGCUUGAUCCUUCUUUGAAGGUGGAAUUUGAAGCUUGGGGCUUAGCUGAGCCGAUGGGGCUCUUGAUCUUGAAGAAACGGUGAUGAACGGAUCUUCAAGGGCUUUUGGGCUUAAUCUUGAGAGAACGGUUUGUGAUGUGAUUAGGUCGACGUUGUUGGAUCCAAAGGGCCGUUGGGGCUUGAUCUUGGAUGAAACGGAUUGAUUGGUUUCAAGGGCCGUUGGGGCUGAUCUUGUGGGAUUGCAGGUGAUUCAAAUUCUUCAAGGGCGUUGGGCUUGAUCCUUGAACUUGAUGGAUUGGAAGAUUUUGGUUCUUGCAUCAAGGGCUCGUUGGGGCGAUUUGAUCUGGGGGAAGUUCUUGGCGGUGAACGAAGAAGAAGAGCUUCUUCGAUCGAUUCGGGAUUGCUGAAGAGCUUGCUUGAGAGCUUCGGAGUUUCAGAGCUUCAAGAGCUUCAAGGUGUAAUCUGAAUUCCCCCCCCCCCAAAUGAAUGAAAUGGGCUUGUAUUUAUAGAAUUUUCCAAGGCCAAUUUCCUGAUAUAAUUGAAUAUCCCAGAUGAAAUAUAUAAAUAAGUUGUUCUGCCUGGGUGUUGACACGUGUCCUAUUUGAUGACUUUUCCAACUCAUUUCAAUUUUCGUUGAGUCGCCACGCUACUACGUGUAAAAUUUAUGUAAUACAUGAGCGUUGACACUUUAUUUAUUUAUCGGUCAAAUUUAUUUAUUUUACCGAAAUUUUCGAUGUCUACAAAUGCCCCCACUUCAAGGCGCGUCGUAUACAUGUGCUUGUCACGUGUAGGAGAUGCGUUUUGAAGUCCCUUACUGUAGAUAUCGAUCCAAAGGCCGUCGAUGCUUGAUCUUGAAUUGGGCUGGAGAUUUCUUCAAGGGCCGUUGAGGCUUGUUCUUGAACUUUUGUUUGAAAUUUCUUCAAGGGCCGUUGAGGCUUGUUCUUGAACUUUUGUUUGAAAUUUCUUCAAGGGCCGUUGAGGCUUGAUCUUGAAGGUUGAAAUUGGACCACAAGGAGCUUCAUGUGGUAGAUGAUCUUUGGUUUUGGUAGUGGGUGAAUCGGCACAUAUUUUGUUGCACUUGUUGACUUUCCACAGCUUUGAUCUUGAACUGGGUUGGAGGAUUUUCUGGAUUCCUCCAAUUGUUGAUUUUCCACAGCUUAUUCUUGAACUAGGUUUUGAUUCAAGGGUGGUAGACACUUAAUCUUGAAUCGGACUUGUGAUUUCUUCAAUGGCCGUCGAAGCUUUGAUCUUGAAUUUGGCUGGAAACUUCUUCAAGGGCCGUCGAGGCUUGAUUCUUGAAGGUUGACUCGAACAUAUUGCAAGCAGGCACGAGGUGAAGGUGACGACUUGUUGCUUUGUUCAAUCUUUCUAAUUCACACCUGAGCAGUUUGGUCAGCGGUAUGAUCUUCAAGAUUGAUGGGCUCUUCUUCCAGUUGGUGACUUGAUCUUUAAGGAUUUGAUUCAAGGGUAAUGAAUCGGCAUGUGCAGCCCACAACGCCUAGUAAGUCGACCCAAAAAUUUGAGGGUCAAAACGAGUUCUUCAUCUCAGACUCUUUCUGCCGAGUUGACUGUGCAUGCUGCAUUCUUCUCUGCUUGUUUCUUCAGGCAGAUAUGGCAGCUUUUCGAGUUUUUCAGCUCGGACUCAUUCUGCUGAGUUGACUGUGCAGACUGCAUUCUUCUCUGCUUGUUCCUUCUGCACCUUGUCUCCACAUGCUGCAAGGUAUCAUUUUCACUUGCCUUAUCUGUUCUCCAGGCAGAUGUGGCAGCUUCGUUGGAAGUACAGCAGCAGUGGGAAACGAGUACUCGAGAGCAGUGCUAGGUAGGCGAUCAGAGAAGGGUUCCAAGCAGUCGGUUCCUUACCCGAGUUUAAGUGGAAGUUCCGGCAUAUUGUUUUCUUUAUCCUUGUCUUUGUAGGUAAGAACAAGGACAAAGGAAAGGACAGGGAGAACGCAUGAUAUGAGAUACUCUUACUUUCUACCCUGGUGAUAUGAGAUACUUUUGCUUUGGAGUCAUUGGCUUGCAGAGGUACCCCAAGGAAUAAGGAACACUGAAUGACUCGAGAGGCUUCGUUGGGAAAGCAUCUUUGGAGAUGAAGAAAGACUCUGUGUGUCUGCCUUGCUAUGGAAGGUGAAGGUGGACAGUUAUAGGAAGUCCCUUAAUACCUGUAGAGGUACUAUUCUUUCACUCGUGUCGGCAACUAACGCGUGAUUGAACAGUAAACUUCACGUGCUUUCUCCUUCACCGAAAAUCUUCGACAAAUUGCCCGUGAUUUGCGCAAAGUUGAGUGUGCAUAUGACAGGUGAUGACGUGGCUAAAAAAGACUGGCGCCUCUUCGAUAUCUGGGAUUGGUGCUUUGAAAAAUUACUCGUGAUUUCCGCAAAGCUGAGUUUGCGUGUGACGGGUGCCGACACGUCUGGAAAAGCAAGAUGCUUCUCCGAUUUCUGAGCUUGCCUCUUCGAUUUUUGAAUGGCCUCUUCGAAUUCUGAGCUCGCCUCUUCGAUCUCUGAAAUCCCAUCGAGUGCUGAUUUUUUUAUAGAGGCAUGCAGUUCGUUUCAAAGCACACUUGAAUUUUCGCUUGUGAAAACUCCCCUCUUGUACUUCUAAGAUCUUGAUUUGUCCGAUCUCUUCUUCCUUCAACACUUUGAAAAUGUCUGGACCCUCCGACCGUCGUUUUGAUUUGAACCUUGGUGAAGAAGUAGUCUCGUCUUCUCCAGAUAACAUAUGGCGCCCAUCCUUCAUAUCCCCUACUGGUCCUCUUACUGUUGGGGAUUCGGUGAUGAAGAAUGAUAUGACCGCUGCGGUGGUGGCCCGGAACCUUGUCACUCCCAAAGAUAACAGACUACUUUCCAGGCGGUCUGAUGAGUUGGCUGUUAAGGAGUCCUUGGCUCUUAGUGUGCAGUGUGCGGGUUCUGUGUCCAACAUGGCCCAACGCCUAUUUGCUCGAACCCGUCAAGUUGAAUCGUUGGCGGCUGAAGUGAUGAGUCUCAAACAGGAGAUCAGAGGGCUCAAGCAUGAGAAUAAAUAGUUGCACAAGCUCGCACACAACUAUGCCAUAAACAUGAAGAGGAAAAUUGACCAGAUGCAGGAAUCUGAUGGUCAGAUUUUACUUGAUCAUCGGAGGUUUGUGGGUUUGUUCCAACAACAUUUGCCUUCGUCUUCUGGGGCUGUACCGCGUAAUGAAGCUCCAAAUGAUCAACCUUUGGCGCCUCCUCUUCCUGGAGUUCCGCCGAGUGGUGCGGCUUCAAACAGUCAACCUCCGGCGCCUCUCAUUUCUGGAGCUCUGCGGAGUGGUGAGGCGGUCCGCGAGCAAUGAAGGCUUAUUCCUGUUUGUUUGCACUUUUUUUUUUUGUAAUUUUUUUUUUUUGGCACGUGGAAUGUGAAUUUAUGUAAUUUUUCCAGAGAAAUAAAUAAAAUGGACUUUAUCUCACUCAAUCAUUUUUUUUUCAGUGCUAUAUAUUAUAUGCAUACACACACAUGCCCCAUCAUGAUUCUUUUAUAUGUAUUUUUUUUUUCUAUUCCUUGCUUUUGGUGGUGCUGGCACCCAUCAUUACUUCCCCCUUUUUUUUUUUUAUCACAUUUUUUUCUUCUUUUCAGAAGGGUGCCCAUGCAAAACCCAUGCUGCACCAUUCCAAUUGCCCUUUUAUAAUAUAUAUAUAUAUAUAUAUAUAUAUAUAUAUAUAUAUAUAUUCUUUUUUUCUUUUUUUUUUUUUUUUGCUUUCACAUGGUGCUGAUCCACCAUUCCCCUUUUCUUUUCUUUUUUUUCACGUGGUGCCAGAUGCACCAUCACCUCCCUUUUUUUUUUUUUUAAUAUAUUUUUUUUUCUGUAUAAAUUUGGGUGAUGGGUAGACGAAUUUGCAGGGAGCGGAGCAAGGAGGACGGAGAAGAUGGUGCUUCGAGCUUCACGACUGGCUAGUCGUUUGACGGCGGUCGUUGAAGUCGUUGGCAGCUGCGAGGCAAGAGACGAAGGAGGUCUUUGGGUGUGUAUUGAUAAACUUGGGUUUUGUCAAUCUCAUUCAAAGGCGGCGGCCAUGGCGAAGGUGCAGAGGAAGACGUUCCACCACUACCGUCACUGAGCACAACCCCUGAGCACAACCAUUGCACUAACUGUUGCACUGCCGUUGCUGCGCUGCUGUUGUGACAACCACUGCCCACUGCUUGCUACCGCGACGUCUACCCAUAGUGCCAGCCUUUUAAGUACGCCGCGACAUCAAAUCCUAGAAGGAGCUCUUUGAUAGGCACAGGAACAUCUUGAUGCAGAAAUGGAACUGGCUCCAGACGGCCGUGCUCUCAACUUCCCUCUCCACAAACAUUUGCUUUCUGUAACAACUAACCAUCCUAUUGCUAUCGCCACCCGUCCCGUCUUCGCCGGCGUUCCUCAAGCUUGGGUUUUUGUCUUGCAAAUAUACCCACGGAUCAUCUCCUAGUUUGUGCAAGUCUGUCACUGCCAAAUCGCCAGAUUUUGAACACAAAUUGAACAGAGUCGACUCCUCAGCGUCGGCGUCCACGUAGGCGAAUGAGUCCCCGAAGAGACUGCUCUGGCCUCCAACUUCUUCCAGUUGAUUGAUCGAAACCAUUUAUGGCUUUUGACGUUAUCCCCUCCAUUCGGCCCGUUACCUAACCUCUGUGACGGAUCCUUUUGUACCAAUCCUUUCAGCAGAGAGUGAGCUUCGCUGGUUAGAUACGACGGGAGUUUAACUUUCUCCUUGAUGAUUCUCUCCUUAAGUUUCUUUCUGUUUGCGUGUGUAAAUGGUGGCUGCCCUUUUAGCAUCUCAUACAAAAGUAUACCGAUGCUCCACCAAUCCGCAUCUUUGUUAUGGCCCUUCGACAGCAAAAUUUCUGGAGCCAUGUACUCUGUGGUGCCACACAUUGAAUUCGAUCUGCUGGCUUCGUCAAUUUCCUUUGCUAGCCCAAAAUCAGUUAGCAUGACAUGCCCAUCAGAAUCCACAAGAACAUUUUCAGGUUUAAGGUCACGAUAGACAAUCCCGCACUUGUGAAGAUGUGCAACAGUAGACACUAUCUCAGCAGUAUAAAACCUCGCCUGAUCCUCGCUGAAGAUUCCCUGCCGGUAUAGAUGAAAGAAGAGAUGCCCUCCGUUUAUAAAAUCCAUGAUCAAGUAAAGCUUAGAGUUGGUCUGGAAAGAUGGUGCGAAUUGCUGGGCUUGAAGUCCUUCCUGAACAUACCGGUAACGCCGCCGCCGAACUUGCUUGUUCCAACGACGUCGUUGAGUAAUUGCAGUAGCUCCGAUGUACGGUCGAUGUGGAAAUCCCAGGAAUCAGAGAGGAGGUUGAGGGAUCCAAUAGACGAAGGGAGACGGGACCGGGGCGAGCUCAUCGGACUGCAGGAGCCCUCCACUUUUCACUUUCUCUCUUUCUCUGUACAGGCUCGGAACUUGGAAACAAUUUCCCGAUGUAAGCUUCUACAGUUCAACAAUUUCAAGUUCAAUUUUUGCAAACCAUUUGACCAUUUAUUUGUGGGUAUUUACUUGCAUUUACUGUUCUUCCUCGGCAGAGUGACGAAAGCGGAGAUUUCCCAUGGGAUAAUGCCGGUGAGAGAAUUGCGGCUUAGAUUCAAGCUGAGAAGCUUCUCGCAGUGCCCGAUGUCCCAUGGGAUCGAGCCGUUAAAGUCGUUACGUUGAAGUUCGAUCCUGUACAAGCUUUGGCAGCCAAUGAAGUCGGGGAUUUUUCCUGUGAGGUGGUUGGAGCUAGCAGAGAAGAUCUGUAGAUUUGGUGCGCGCCAGAUGUUUGACGGAAGGACUGAGUGCAAUGGGUUCAGCAAAAUGUUCAAGUAACUGAGAGCUUCGACAUUGCCGAGAUCUUCCGGGAUCAUGCCUGUGAAAUUGUUGCCGCUCAAAUCGACGAAGGUUAGAUUGGGUAAUAACCCGAAACCAGUCGGAACCGACCCGUUGAUUUGGUUGUUUUGGAUUCGGAGUCUGAACAGAGAAGUGCAGUUUGCUAAGGUUUUGGGAAGAGGGUCGGUGAACCGGUUGGAGAAAAGUAUGAGCUUUUGGAGCUUGUUACCGUCGCAGAUUUGGUGGGAUCGGGCUGGAGAGAAAGUUCCGGGAGAGGUCGAGGUCGGUGGCUGUAUCAUGCCCGCCGGGACGGUGCCAAUAGGCCAUUUUCUCGAGAAGUCGGCGAUUCUGAGGGCGGUGGGUCGAGAACGGUCUUGAACUAAGGGAAGGUGGUUCCAGGCGAACUGAGCGGCAAGGAGAUUGCCGGACCAGCUAUGGCUGGGAUGGGUGGAAAAGGAGGUGGUACAUAGAGAGGUGGUGGUUGCGGUUUCCAUAAAGCUUUUGAAGCUGCUAUUCCUGCUUGGAGCAGGGCCGUGACUACCAGGCACAUUGGAGGUGGAUGGUGCUGCUUCCAUACUGCAAGAAAUGGGAGAUGGGCCUUGAUUUGUAACUGAAGUCUGAGCAGGCAUUGGACUUGAUCGCGGAUUGGGCUUGGGGGCUGCCACUUCGGCCUGGAUGGCCUCCUUCUGAGAGGCUUGCUGCUGAUGGAUAUAUAUACAUACAUAUAUAUAUAUGUAUAUAUAUAUGUAUACGUAUGUAAAAGAACUCUAUUUUUUUUUGUUUUUUUUUAAUACAUAAAACAUAUUUAUAUUUUUUGUAAACAAGUAAUAACAUAUGUAUUCCUUUUUUUUUUUUUCUUCUUUUUGGAUACAUAAAACAUAUGUAUUUUUUUUUAAACAUAUAUUCUUUUUAUUUUGAUGUGACUGAACUCGAAAUUUUGGAAUAUUCAAGCUGCCUACGUACCCUUCCAAAGAAGAGAUCAAGUCGUAACGUAGUUCAAAUACAUACAUAUUUUUGGUAUUUUCUUUUUGUGCCGUUUGCAGUUUUAACUCAUGCAGGCAAGGAGCAUUUGGUGCCGUGUUGCAGUUUCAGCUCGUGCAGGCAAGGAGCGUUGGUUCGUGCAGUUUAGGCUCGUGCGAACAAGGAGCUUAGUGCCAUGCAGUUUAGGCUCGUGCAGGCGAGGAGCCUCGUGUCCUACAGUUUAGGCUCGUGCGGACAAGGAGCUUAGUGUCAUGCAGUUUAGGCUCGUGCAGGCGAGGAGCCUCGUGUCCUACAGUUUAGGCUCGUGCGGACAAGGAGCUUUGUGAAUUUGUCAAACGAUCCGGGAUAGUUUUUCCUCGCAAUUUUCAUAGCAAGGAGUCUUGACCGAGUGAUUGAAGAAGUCUUCAGGAAAGAAAUCACGCAUCAUGAUGGGGAUGGACGAUCUAUGUGUCGAAAUUUCAUCAUCUUCAACACGUUCACGUUGCUUUGAAGGUUGACAAGAGCUGCUUUGCCCCCUUUCCGAUUGGCGGAUUUGUGGAGGAGGCGUAUACUUCUUGUGCAAUUUCUUAGGAGUGACUUGAGUCCAUCCUUCAACUUUGCUUGUCUUGGAGGAUGCCCCCAACGGUUGAAGUGAAAACUUUGAGUCGGGAGAGCCAAAAGUGAUGGUGGUAUAGUUUGACUCCAACACAUCGUCAAGAUCUAGCUCGAUGAUUCCUUUCUGAGCCAACUUCAUGAUGAGAUCUUUCAGCACGAAGCACUUUUCUGUCGGAUGACUGAUGAAGCGGUGGAAUUUAUAGUAUCUUGGACUGUCGGUACGAUUCAUCUCUUCUGGCCGUCUGCACUCAGGCAAACUGAUCACCUUCUUGUCCAACAGGUCAUCCAGCAUGGCAACCACAUCAGAGUCGGGGAAUGGAUAAGUCUUCCCCUCAAGCUCCUUCAAAGUGUGUCUACGCAUCUCUUGAUCACGAAAAGCUUCAGUUUGAAUCGCCUUGCCUCGUGUAGGGAUUUUGACGGGAGCUGUGUUGACCGUCAUCGCUUCCUUGGUGGGUUUCCAUGCAGCCUUUUCCACCUUUGUCCCAAGAACUUUGUCGUUCUUGUAGUCGGCGAUCGGUUCUUUCUUCCCAUGAUGGGCGAUGCUUAACUCCAUGUCAUGGGCGCGAGUGGCCAAUUCCUCGAAGGUCCGUGGUUUAAUGCCUUGAAGGAUGUAUUGCAAACCCCAUUGCAUGCCUUGGAUGCACAUCUCGAUUGAAGAGGUUUCUGAGAGCCUGUCUUUACAGUCGAGGCUUAGAAUGCGCCAUCUGUUGAUGUAGUCAAUGACUGGCUCGUCAUUCCACUGCUUUGUGCUCGUUAGCUCUAACAUGCUCACAGUGCGGCGGGUGCUAUAGAAGCGGUUGAGGAAUUCCCACUCUAAUUGUUCCCAGCUGUUGAUGGACUCAGGUUCUAGAUCUGUGUACCACUCAAAGACGUUUCCUUUCAGCGAGCGCACAAACUGCUUGGAGAGGUAAUACCCUUCGGUUCUUGCGUUGUUGCAAGUUUCAACGAAGUGGGCAACGUGCUGUUUCGGGUUUCCCUUUCCAUCAAAUUGCAUGAACUUUGGUGGUUGAUAACCCCUCGGCAUCCUUAAGGCGUCGAUCUUCUUUGAAUAUGGCUUUGAGUACAACCCGGAGGUAUUUGAGCUCCCUUCGUACUGUGCCUUGAUGGUGUUGGUGAUCAUCUCCUGCAGCUGCUAGAUAGAAAGAGAUCCCAUGAGUGCCGCCGCUUGGUCUGGCUCCGGCUUCGCAUCGUUUUUCUCCACCUGAGGCUCCUCUUCUUCGUCAUCUCUUCUCUUUAGUGGAUCAUUCUCUGGGUCGGGUUUAUCGCCGUCCUGCGCCUCUAGUCGAUUGACUAGUGCUGCAAUUUGCAAGUCUUUUUCUUCCACAGUUCGGGUUAGCCUUGCGAUCGCUUCAUUCAUUUGAGCCAGUUGUUCUUCGAUAGAGGUAACGCCGAUGGUCAUGACUUGUGCAACCAAUAAACGUGACUUUCCUUUAGACAUCCAGGAUGCUGACGAAUAACGUUGUUGGCUGUUUUGGGGUGUCAUCUUGUGUGCCUCAGCAGCAUGCUUCGGUGCCCCCAGUGAGGUCAGGUUGAUGACAUACUCACACCUUGGAUGCUCCCCUUGCUCUUUUAGCGGCACCAAUUUUGAAGUGGCAUGUUGAGGAGCGGUUGUGGCGCCAAUGGAUUGUCCGUUUGCGGCAGAAGUGCUUAGGAUCCUUCCCUCAGUGGUUGCAAGAACGGCUUGUCCCUUGCUUGAUGCCAUUGACUUUGAGGUGUGCUUGGAUUCCUUGAACGGAGGAAGAGAUGAGAGGUAGAGAUGUCCCACUGGGCGUGCCAAUUUGUGAACACGGAAAAUUCCUGAAACGAAAGAGACAAGAACAACGUGCACAAACAAAUAUUUGUAUUUGAUGAUUUUGGGUUACAAUCUCUCUCUAAUUUGAUCCUCUGAUUCGAUCUCCGUAAGGUGUUGAUUUGUGGAUAUUUCGUUAAUCCAAGGGCCGUCGAGGCUUGAUCUUGGAUGAACUGUUGGAAGUUUCUUCAAGGGGCCGUGGGGCUUGAUCUUUGAAGGUGGAUUUGAGCGGAUCUUCAAGGAGCCGUUGGGGCUUGAUCUUGAGUAACGGUGAUGAACGGAUCUUCAAGGGCUUUUGGGCUUAAUCUUGAAGAAACAGUGAUGAACAGAUCUUCAAGGGCUUUUGGGCUUAAUCUUGAAGAACGGUUGAAUGUGUGUGGAUUUGUCGACGUUGUUGAUCCAAAGGGCCGUUGGGGCUUGAUCUUGGAUGAACGGAUGAUGAACGAUGGUGCUUUCUUCAAGGGCCGUCGGGGCUUGAUCUUGAAUUGGUGGAAGUUCUUCAAGGGUCGUUGGGGCUUGAUCUUGGAAGAACGAUGAACGAAGAACGAAGAAGGCUUUCUUGAUUCUUCGGGAACCUGGAUGCUUUAGAGCUUCGGAGUUUCAGAGCUUCAGAGCUUCAAGGUGUAAUCUGAAUUCCCUCCCUCAAAUGAAUGAAAUGGGCUUGUAUUUAUAGAAUUUUCCAAGGCCUAAUUUUGAAUAUAAUAUCCCAGAUGAAAUAAGUUGUUUCUGCCAGGUGUUGACACGUGUCCUAUUUGAUGACUUUUCCAACUCAUUUCAAUUUUCGUUGAGUCGCACGCUACGUGUAAAAUUUAUGUAAUACAUGAGCAUUGACACUUUAAUUUAUCGGUCAACAUUUAUUUACCGAAAUUUCGAUGUCUACAAAUAUUUAGCGAGAAACAAAUUUCUGACAUGAAGUAUUGUUUUCGUCGCCCUACAUUUGCAAAAAUUUGCUCUUGAGGUGUAUAAUGUGUUCAAUAGUGAACUUAAUUCUCCAAAGAAGUUGCGCCUUGUCAUUAUUGGAUGAUGGUGAUGACUACGACGAUGACAUGUGGAUCUCGUUCCACUUGAAUACCAUAAAUUGACGCGCAAUCUUAAUGCCCAGAGAAACCCUAUUUAAAAUGGCCUACAGUUAUGAUAGAAGAAGAUACAUAUAAUUCCUUCAAAUUCAAAUAAAGCAAGGAGAUGCUAAACCAUUGGGUUUGAUGGGUUGUACUAAUCUAGUAUAGAUAGGAGGAGUGGACACCAACAAACUUGACGAUCGAGCUAGUAGCCUUUUUGUGACAACCCGUCUCUAAUUUUAUGUUUUUACAAUUUUAAAAGCAUGAUUUUACGAAAAUGCCCUUAGAGGCGAGGGUCUUGAUUUUCGUUGACCAACGUUUAGUGAGAUCUAUGAAAUAUUCCUUUAGCGUAUUCUUGUAGUACUCGACAAUACGGCAGCGUAGGCGCAAGCAGAAGCGGAUUGGAGUAUUGAUAUUAUCAUUUAUUAUUUUAUAUAUUUUCAUAAGUACCAUUAUAUUAUUUUAAGAUUAUCUUUGGUAAGAAAUGAGAGAAGGAGAAGAAGAAACGGAGGGAGAAGGGAAAAAGAAGAAAGGGUGUUGGCUGCCCAAUCAGAGAAGAAAGGAGAGAGUUUCGGCCAAGGGAAGGAAAAGAGAGAGUGAAGGUGACCAACUAGAGAGAAGGAAAGGAAGGGAAAGGAGGGAGGUGUGGAGCACCUAACCCAUCUGGCCCGUACACCCACAGAAACCGGUGGAGGUUUUUGACGAUAUCCAUCAAAUUUUCAAGUGAUUUUCACCCAUUCACCACCACCAAACCUCAUCACCAUAUCUUAACAUCCAAUUCUAGCCAAAAUUGACCCGAAAUGGUGGAGAUUUCAUGAAAAACACCAAUGGGUGCCGCGGGGAACCUUGCUCAUGAUUUACCAAUUGUGAAACCAUCUCCUCCAAUUACCACCACUAGAGCACUCCCCUAGAACCUAGGAACAAAGCCCAAGCAGUGGUGGAGGCGUCAGAGCAAGUUUGGUGGUCGAAUCGAACACACCUAAGUUUAGAGUUCCAGCAGGUUCGAGGUAAAUUGGAGCCUUUCCAAGCCAAAUUAGACUUGGCCACAGGUAUAAAGUUUAUAAAGUUUACUCUACUCUUUGAGAUUUUCAUUCCUGUAAAUUUUGGUAAUUUUUGGAAAUAGUUGGAUUGUUCCAGCGAGUCGGGGCGUGAAGGAAAUUUUGUGAAAAACAUGUUCAUUUGAGCAACAUCUAUGGCAUGCAAUUAACAUUUAAAGGCGGAAUCAUGCUUGUAUGCACUCAAAACAAAUCAUGCUUUUAUACCUUUGUUGAUUUCUCUUUGCAUAAGCAAAGGCUAAUCACCCAAGGAGAGGGCCUUCAUUUCUUGCUUCUUAGCUCCAUGGAUUUCUUGGAUGAGGAUGGUUGAAAGGAUUCUCCAAGUUCCCAAAGUUAAGAACCUCUAAGUAUUUAUACCUUCAUUGGAGUGGCAAACUUCUAAUAAGUCCAAAACCCACUCCUUUAUCAAUAUGGCUAGCCAUAGGGUUUUAUUGGGCUGUUUUGGCCUUUGUGAAUUAUUAGUCAUUAAGUUGUCAUACAACUUAAGUUAAUUGGCUUGACGUUCGAAGCCUAUUGGGCCUUGAGGCCCAAAACUAACCCGAGGUCUUUAACGAACUUUAUUCAUUUGAUUAAUUAACAUAUUAAUUAAUCUUUGCCAUAAAUAAUUAAACCAUUUAAUUAUCCUUACUCAUCUCUGUUGUUUCUUCAAUCUCUACCUUACACGAUGUACGAUCCAUUAGGUUCAUUUUAGCGAGAUAGUGGGCGAUUAGAACUCUUUCAAAUCGAUUGUGAAUUGAAACUUACUUUCAAUUCUCCCUUUAGUGAUUAUACACGUUUAGGGCUUCCACAAACCAUGAGUGACACCUAGCAGUAUGUCAUGGUUACCCAAGCUAAUCAGAAGAGGUGGUGAACCUAUUCAGUUUAGGAUUACAAUGCAAUACGGUCUUUCUCUAAUACAAUACUCUUGACCACAUUGUUUGGUUUGAUAGUUUAUUCAUGUCUACUAUCCAAUGUGAUUCUCUUACUUAUAUGAUUACCUUGAAUGUGAUUUGGAACGAUUUCCUAAAUCUCAUUCAUACUCUGGCCAGAGAUUCUUAAUCAUAUAAUAAAGUAUUCUCCCUCAAACAGUUUGAAGGUUAGAGAUCCCUUGUUGCGCAAUCACUUGCCUCCAUGGCUAAGUGGCUUAACCCCAACUAUGCCGUGGACACCCUCUGACGGAGUGACUUUGACAUAGUCAAAGAUCAAGGACCUAACCACAAGACAACUAUGAUGCCUCAGGUCAAAGGACUACUUUGCAUUAUCCCAACCAUGAGUUCUCAUGUGACAUGAGUAUGAGAACUCCUUGUUGAUCGUGUUCAGUGGACUCAUUCUCUAUUGGGCACCUACAUGCUUGUCUUGGUGUCAGUCACACCAAUGACUCGAGACCAGUCACUCUCCCAAAGAGAAGACAUAACACAUACUGAUCUUAACGGACUGUCAAUGCCCAAUUGGUAAUCCUAUGAUCAGGAACGUUUAGGAUAUGUAUACGAAAGAGAAUGGUCUCAUGAAUCUAACUUCUUUAGAUCGCAUUCUCCCAAUUACAUAUUCCUUGGACUUAUCGUUUAAGUGUAUAACAUUUAUAUGAGACAGCUUCAAACAAUAAUCUUUGCCCUUUAAAUUAAACUAUAUUAGUUUAACAUGUGAAAUGUCCGUAAAGUAUCAUCAUAUGAUUGGUUUUAGGGCACAUUUCCAACAAUCUCCCACUUGCACUAGAGCCAAUCAGUUUGGUCAUCAAUGAUGAUACCUUUUCUGUGUCAUUUCAAAAUGGCUGAGUAGUAGGCCUAGACAAUGGAUAUCUAUAUGUUAUCCAUAGAAGCAACCUUGAGAAUAACGACGUCACCAUUAUACAUGAUUCUUAAUCAUGUGGUUUAGUCUCUAAUUUGAGUUCGGAUCAUGAUGAGACCUUGAUUCCCUGGCUUGAGCUAUCGCCCCAUUAGUGUCAUAGUGUCGGUACACUAGAGACACUUUCUGGUUAGAACCGAAUAUAGAGUUCAUGAAUGAACUUUCUCAUCCAAACAACAUUGUUGUAAGCUUCUAUAUGGCAAUAUAUUUUGCAUUCACAAUGGAUCACACUAAGGUUAUUACUUCCAAUGUUUCCAUCCAAAUAUCUCUUUAGUCAUAAUAAAGAGAUAUCUAAUUAUCUCUUCAUUCAUAAUGAAGAAACAUCCAAUGAUGGAUUAGAUUCAUAAUCUAAUACAUUUACGCUUCCAUUACGUUACUCUAAUUCUUCCUCAUUCUUUGAGGAAUAUAUCCUUUAGUAUUUCUUAAAUACUUAAGGACUCACUUGAUAGUUGCCAUAGUUCUGAUCCUGGGCUUGCACUGAUAUCGUCUUGUACCGUUCUAGGUACAACUCAUAUCAAUGUUUUUCAUACAAUAUGAAACAUGUAAAUCACCUUUUUGCGUAUGCAUAAAGGAUUCUAUUUACACAUUAUGUUUCUUUGGGAGUCAAAGGGUACGUUCCCUUUAAAAAGAGCUACCUCCUAGUCUCACUAGAGUUGUUCUUCUGAUUGAAGUUUAUCAUCAUAUGAGAAACUUCCUAGCAUCUUUUGUCUAUCAUUAGGGCUGGAUAUAAUCCAAUUAUAUCCUGAAAUCUAUCAUUAUAGAUUUGCAUCCCAUGUUUAUAGACUAUGUCUCCCAUAUACAUUCUAUCGUUAUAGAAUGUUUAAAGUCAUAACUUUAACGAAGAAGUAUUCUUUUCAUUUCCAAAAUUUAAUAUAUCAUACAUGUAUAUAUUAUAUUCAAAUUUAGGAACAUGACUAACUCCCACUAAUCUUUUGUAAACCUAGUAAACAAAAGAUUCAUUUACAUCUUUAUGAGAAAUCAAACGAUUUGAUCUUUCUCUCAUAAGACGUUUGUAGCUCCCACUAGCUUGCUAAGAUUCAUGAUGGAUGGAUCUCUACAACUUACAUGUCUUGUGAUUCAUAGUUUCAGACAUAUAUUAUCAAGACUAUCUUAAUAAUGGUUUCGGAAACCCAUAUUAUGUCCAAACAUUGAAUCACCAUUUAGUUGUAGCUAGCAAUCUUUGAAUUAAUUGAAACCAAGACUAUGUCAAAGAUGGCUUCUUCCAAGUCAACCAUUCUCUUUGAUUUUAGUCACCUUCAGCUACCAAUUAGCUAUGAAGGUUUCAUUAUUUCGGGUCAAAUGGUACUUUACCAUUUCCUUAAGUAUAUGUCAUAUAUACACUCAAUGUAGUCAUAAGGAUUCUUAUUUCUUUCAAAUUAAGAGGUGUAACUCUAUGACAUAGUCAUAAAGUUCAAACCAUUCAACUGAGACAACUUAUAAAUCCUUCUCGACUACCUUGGAGCUUGUGGUGUAGGAACUAGGUUGUUAUAUUUGUUGAUUAUCAUCUUGUCUCUAAAAGAACCCAUUCUUUGAGUUCUAUCUCUUGUUCAUUUGCGCUUAGGCAAAUCAUAUUGUAGGAUUACAAUGAACUACCCAACAAAACAACAUUUGUUAGUUGGUUUAUAGAAGUGAUAUCCAAAGGUUAAUUUAAGGAUAUCCACAAGAUAAUUCUCAAACAAAUAUUGCUUAUUAGCACAUAACCUCAAAUCUUAACACGAUUAAGACUUAUCUUUCUUUCCAACUACAUCCUAUGGAGUCAUGAAAAUUUUGGAAGAUCUUCUAAUUUUCAAUCAUAUUGUCUUAGAAGUAUAUAUCCUAUAUAUGGGUAAUUGAUAACAUCCAACAAACUAAAUCUUAUUCAAGUUCGUUCUUCACCUAAUCGAGAAAUCCAUUAUCUUAUGAUGCUUCUUUCCUUGAUAUCUUUCAAGGAAACUGUUGUAAAGUGUUACCUUUCCUUGGAUCAAAUCUAAGGAGGUAAAUACUUUAGACGUCUUACUCAUCAACUUACAUUCUUGAAUUCUUUGAAACCUUUUGCAAAGUAUUCGGACUUGUGUUUAUUCAAAAUAAAUGAUAGUCUAACCGAGAGCGAUCUUCGGUGAAUGUCAUACAACAUGAGUAGUAUUAUGUUGUGGACAAGUGCCACUAACAUCUAAGUGAAUUAACCUCAACAACUUUGUGAUUCUUUCUUCCUUUCCAAAAGAAUAAAGAUUCAAACAUUUUGCCUCUAUACAAUUUUAACAAAAAGGCAUUGGAUCCGGAUCUAACGAUCCAAAGCAUCCAUCUAUGACCAACUCGUAAUUUAUGUUUUAGAGGUAUCACAACUCAGUUGGGAGUAGUCACUACCUUGCAACCUUUUGGGUUUUAAGCAUCGUUAUAUUCUAAACAGUUAACACUACCAUAUCAUCUCUACUAUAGAGAUAAUCAAUUAGAUUACAAUAAUCUAAUCAUUCAUUAAUAAAGAACAAUGUUUUGUCAAACAAAACAUUUAUCCAUUUCUCAUACGGAAUUAAGUUCCUUUAUUUAAAUUGGAAUGUAAAGACAAUCUUUAUUUUUCCAUUUUCUUUGGUAGUUCACAUGAGAAAGUAAGUACUACCUGCUUUCGCAGAGAUCUACAUUUGAUUCAUGUUCCGAAUGUGAAGUACUUUCUCUUCUCUCAUUAAUCUUCUACUUCUUAUUAGCCACACUUUUACAACGAUUGUAAAACAUAGUUACUAAUACGGAAUCAAGCAUUCAAGUAGAAGAACCAACUAUUUUGAACUAUUCAAGAACAAUUUACAACACCUUCAAAAGGUGUGUUCUUGACACUUGCAAGAGAUUUCUUGCAAAUACCCCUUCCAAUGUCCAUCCUUUCAUAAAGAAAGUUUGUUCCCUUGGAGUUAUUUCGCCUU